rnacentral:lncRNA from 1 species
UUUUUUUUUUGUAAAGUAGGUAUUGAAGACCUAACUUUGUGAUUUAUCGAUGGUUUACAUUCAAUAUUUUGUGUAUUCAUUUGAUCUGAGAAUAUUUUUUUGUAAAUAUACCUAAAAUAUUUUAGUUUUUUGUCGCAAAUGAACUAAUGAACCAGCGGUCCAACCAAUAAAAACGUAAGCUAUGGUUGUAUCUAAAUCUUUCAAUGGUUGGCUAUGUACACUGUCGUAUGACUUUAUCUAUGAAUUCAGCCUCUUGCCUUUUAUUCAAAAAGAAAACUACUGCACUAUCCGUAUCGGAAUUUGACGCUUUUUUUGUUUGUUUCUCGAUGCAUUCGAAUAUCUGUGAUGGUUAUGGUCCAUGUGUCCGUAGGUGCCUUAAACGAACGUGAGUGAAUUAUGAUGGCGGGAAAACAUAUCACACAGUUGUUGGUCCGAAAUCUGAUCUUUUCAGUGUCAGCACUAACGAAUGAUAAACAUACAUUGUUUGAGACACAAAAAACGUAACGCCUUUUAGUGUCAGCGCUAAGGCUGCCCAUAAUGGAAGUAUCAUAAGUUAUAUAAUGCAUGACAACUAAGUAAUUGUGAUGAGGUGGCAUAGAAUUAAAUGGAAAAAAGAUGCUUUAAGUAACAUAUCAUGAUACCAUAUCAUAUUAAAUGUUAUGCUAUUUUGUGUCAUUCAUGGCAGUAAAUAUAGUCUUCUAUAAUACUCCCUCCGUAAACUAAUAUAAGAGCAUUUAGAUCUUUAACUAAACACUCUUAUAUUAGUUUACAGAGGGAAUACCAACAUAUAAUAGUAUGCAUUAUGGAUAUAGUAUCAUAUACUAGUAUAUGAUACUCCCCAUUACAACGAACCUAACAAAUGAUAAACAUACAUUGUUUGAGACAAAAAAAAAAGAAACGCCUUUAGCAGUUCACGAGCACAAGUCACUGAAAAGGUACUCCCUCCGUAAAGAAAUAUAAGUGUGAUUAGAUCACUAAAACAGAGGGAGUAUUUUUUAGCGAACACAAAACAUAGGCAAGAUCGACCUGCUUGUUUCGAUGGCAUGGAGCAUGUGAACCGGACGUUUAACUAACACGGCUAACAAUAAUUCCUUAAACAGAGGCGAGUUCAUUCCUCUUCGUGCCACUUGGAAUAAUGUCUAUAGAAAUCAGAUGAUAGACGGAAGCUCACAGCUUCAAAGAUUAGUUCCCAGUUAACAUAACAUUUCACGAGGGCAUGACACGUAGAGGGCCAAUUUCCUUCCGGAGCACAUCACAGGCCCCAUGCGCAGCAUACAGAAUGGAAAGAACCUACAACAAGUAAUCCAUUUCUGCAUCUCAGCCACCAAAAAGUACCCUCUUGAUACCUGCAAACCAACCAAUGUUCUCAGCUAAACCGAACUGUAAUACUCAAUUAUACAAAAGCCAUUGAAUUUAUCUCACGGUUUUUGUAUGAUUUAAACAGUAAAUAUUAUCUUCAUCAUUGUGGAAGCCAUGCCACAAGCCUAAAGACUGAAUCAUCUCAGCAUUAUUGGUUAACUCCUACUGUUGGCAUAUUUUCAAUAACUCCAUAUGAACAUUCUAGAUUAUCAAACCUUUUGAAUUUUAUAUUUUUUCUCAUGGGAGUACUGAGGGACUCAUGGAGUAACGAAGGAUAAACAUUUGGUUUCUAGCUAACAGGCAUACCUUCUAGAAAUGUACGAGGUACAUAGUCCCUAACAAAUCGGAUGUAAUCAAAUUCAUGUAAGCCUCAAGCAAUAACCAUGUAUCUUUUUUUUACUCGGCAUACUGCAAAAAAUGAAAGACUAGCAACUACUUCCUCUGUUCACAAAUAUAAGACGUUCUAGACUGAUCAUACAAGUCUAAAACGUCUUAUAUUUAUGAACAGAGGGAGUACUUGUGAAGAAAGCAGUGUUUAAUAUGAAUCUAUUCAUGCCAAUUUUAUCAUGUGUUCAGAAUACAUUAUUAAACAUGUACAGUGAAGAUCAAAGAAAUAAUAGAUGGCACAUAAACCAUAGAAAUAUCCCACAUUUAGUUUGGGUCAGAAACUACAUUGGAGGUUAUGUGAGUUAGACAAACAAAUAGAGAUAUGCUGAGAAAAUGUUUACCCAAACCACUGAUAUCAAGACUAUUUUUCUGAAUCGUAAAGGGCAGCUACAAUUGUCUGCGUUAAACAGAAACGAUAAUAGAUCCACUAACCCGAGAAAUAACAUGAAAAUUCUUAAAUCAGGACCAGGACCGAUUUAUCCAAAACCAAACCAAAUUAGCCGUCUUGAAUUGAUGAUACUUGGGGUUACUUGUCCAAAUGAAACUAAAUUUCAACCACCAUGAUUAAGUUUCAAAGAAAACAGUGCAUAUUCAGUUCCAAGUGGACUCGCCACAUGUUUACUGAAAAAUAGCUCAUUUGCCAAGAUAGUAAGCUGAUACAUAUUUAUGUUGUUCGUGUUAAACUGAACCUUUAUUUUUUGAGUCUAGUUCAAGAGAACUCAGUGAGCAGAAUGCUUAUUGACUAAGAUACCGAUAUAAGUAUUCCCUCUAAAACUUCCUCAUGAGAAAACAAAUAACUGGAAAUCAGAAAGCAUCGGCGCUGCAAGAUGAUGACUAGUCGAACUGGUCAACAAAAAGGAAACUCUGGAGAAGCAUCAGAACAACAAAAUGAUGGAUCCCUCUAUUCCAUUUGCUGGCUUACCACAUCAUAUCCUCAAAUGAUUUGUCGAAGAUCACUGAGGACCCACAGGUGCUGGCCUACGUUGCACGGAUACUUGGAUACGUAUUGGAUACGUGAUACGGGGAUACGCCCGAUACGGCAAUUUUCUAAAAACUAGGAUACGGGGAUACGUCUGUAUAUACAUAUUAAUUAUUAAAUAUAUGAAAAAAUAACGAGUUUUUUUUGUAGGAAAUGCACUGUUUUAUUUAAAAAAUUGAAGUCUUCACAAUUGCUUAACAAAUACUGCAUGGAUCUCUUGUUGCCUCCUUUCCCUUUCCUAGUAUUUUCCAACAUCUGGACGUACCUCCACAAAGGCUUCUUCUCAUUAUCAUCUUCCGGAAUCACACGAGCAACAACCAAUACAUGGACUGCAUCCAUGCUACCUCCACUACCUGCGUCACUUCUAACUGAAGAAGACCUAAUAGACAUGGCCGAUCUGCACGGUAAAAGGAGGAGAUUAGGAAAACAGAUUAGUCAAACAGAUCUAAUCUUAAAAUCUGAACCUAAAACACCUACGUACAGAAUUCAGAGAAGGAGAUGGAGAAGAGAGAUCAGAGAAAGAGAGGGAGAUGAGAACAUACCUCCUGCAAGGGAGACACGAAUGUCUUCUGCCGGCGACGAGCCGGCGACCGAUCAGCGUUGAUUGGAUGGAGAGUUGGAGAAGAACAUGUGGGAGAGGAGAGGACUGGAGCUGAGAUUUAUGGAGAGUUGGAGACCUGCGGGCUGUGGCUGCUCGCCUGCUCCAAAGAGUCGAGGGGACGAGGUGGCCAGUUUUCAAUCGAGGGGACGAGGAUGACGUGCGGCGGCGCUAGGAGGGGAUCGAGGAGUUUUCAGUUUUACACGUCGAACAAAUGGGUUGCCGUAUCCAAAACGUAUCCCAGAGGUAUCCCAGAUGUAUCAAACACUAUUUUCUUUUUUUAAAAUCAAUAAAUCACAGGAUACUUACGGGAUACGUAUCGAGCAGUAUCAGGGCAGCAUCCGAGUAUCCGGCAGGAUACGCGCACUUUUUGAAGUAUCCGUGUAACGUAGGUGCUGGCAACGUGCCUCUAGCACAAGCUGAAAAAAAGAGGUUAUAAGCAUGGUAUUAUAUUCCAGCGCCCAGCAAUCAAACUUACAUGGAGUAGAUACUGAAUCUAAAGGUUUACAGCGUUAUGUUUUUGUUCUGGUAUUAGGAUUGGUCAAACAAAGGUGAAAACAAGGAAAAUAGAUCAACAACCUUCUAGCCUGCGAAUCAACCUAUGGUUAGGUGGACAGUGGUAUCCCCAACCCACCAGGGUUUAAAUCCUAGUGCUCGCAUUAAUUCUGGAUUUAUUUCAGGAUUUCCGGCGAUGUGCUUUCAGUGGGAGGAGACGUUCCCGUCGACGACGAGGCACCUAUGGUGACUUCGUAAAUCUCAAGAUGAUAUGCCGGCUCAUUCUCUUGAAGGUGCUCAUAGAAGUAGGGUGUGUAUGUGCGUUCAUAGGGAUGAGUGUAUACGCGUGUAUAUGAGCGCUUGUGUUUGUACUGAUGCUUAAAAAAAACAACCUUCUAGCCUUCUACUUGAGUAUCCUAUGCCCCGGCCACAUAUAGCUGUAGAUGUUUUUCUUAUGGCUAAAUCGAAGUGCAACGUUACAUAUCUAACAUUUUGCAAUUACUUCUGCCCUAACUGAAGUAUUACUAGAUUGGCUACUUAUGAGGUAUAAUGGAAAACACCAUAAAGGAUAGCCAUGUUGUAGAUCAGCAAACCGGCUUAUAUGUGCUGAAAGGUCCACUUACAAGCUCUGAAGGUUUACAUUGCAUUUAGGCUGUAAGAAGACACUAGACCAACAACUUCCUACUCGUGCAUUCAUUUUCCUGAUGACAUGUAUAUGCCAUUGUCCCGAUGAGAUACUUUUUUUUCGAAAAGGGGAGGCUCCUCGGCCUCUGCAUCUUAAUGAUGCAUACGGCCAUCUUAUUAAACAAAUAACAAAAAGUGCCAACAAGGUUCCACAGUCUCCAGCUAAAAAGAAAAGAUAAAUGCAGCUCACACAGAGCGAUGAAACGGCUAGAGACACAAACUAGCCUGAAAAAGAUGUCACAACCGGCUGGCUAACAAUAGAUAGGGAAACUAAUUGCCUAUCCUAUUACAUGACCGCCAUCCAAACCGGUUGAAGAUAUCCCGAGCUACCAUCUCCCAACGGAUAGAUCCAGUAACCAAAUGCUCCCUGGCCUCCAUCAGAGUGAGUAGCGACCACGAACGGAUCAGUGCCGUAGCUUGGAAAAUAACCUGCAAAAAAUGAAUCCGUGAUAUUCUGUUAAAAACCAAAUCAUUUCUGCAAUUCCAGAUGGUCCAUAACAAAGCACAAACUCCAACCCAAAUAUGUCUUGCUAAUUCAGGCUCAACCCCACUAAGCCAUGUCCCAAAUAAAGCAUCGACCGACGUCGGCGGAGUAAUAUUAAAAGCAAUAUGGACCGUCCGCCAAAGACCUUUGACCAACGGGCAAUCAAAGAAUAAAUGCUUAAUCGUCUCAUCCCGAUCACAGAAACUACACCUAGUAGGUCCUGUCCAAUUGCGUUUAAUCAAGUUGUCCUUUGUUAAAAUAACUUGUUUAUGGACAAACCACAUAAACACUUUAAUUUUUAAAGGCACUUUGACAGCCCAAACACACUUGGAAGUUGGAAUAGCAGUCGAAUUAAUAACAUCAAUAUACAUUGAUUUAACUGUAAAUACUCCAGAACUAGUCAACUUCCAGCGCAAUAUAUCGGGUUGGUGCGAAAGUUGAACCUCCAUCAGUCUCCUAACUAGAUGGAGCCAUUCUUCCCAGCGAUUGCCCGCUAGCGACCUUCGAAACUGAAUAUUAAGGGGGGUUGAUUGGAAGACCGUUGCAACAAACACAUCACGUCGUUGAGCAAUCCGAUAUAACGACGGAUAUUGAACGGCUAAAGGUGAUUCGCCAAGCCAAGUAUCCUCCCAGAAACGUGUACUUGUACCGUUUCCAAUAACAAAUCUCGUCCUAUUGAACAUAGAUUGCUUGACUUUCAUUAGUCCUUUCCAGAAGGGCGAAUCAGUCGGCCUGACUGCAACCUGGGACAAUGUUUUAAUUUGGAGAUACUUGUUGCGUAGGACCUGCACCCACAUGGCUUCAGUCCCGGAAAACAGCUUCCACAACCACUUACUAAGAAGACAUCUGUUCUUGACUUCAAGGUUUUCAAUGCCAAGACCCCCUUGGUCUUUCGGUCUACAGAUGAUGUCCCAUUUAGCUAGCCGGUAUUUUCUUUUAAGCUCAUCACCCUGCCAAAAGAAACGCGACCGAUAGAAGUCCAGUGGUUUCCUAACACCAACUGGGACCUCAAAGAAAGAUAAGAGAAACAUAGGCAUACUCGUGAGCACCGAAUUAAUCAAAAUCAAACGCCCUCCGUAUGACAUGAGCUUACCCUUCCAACAGCUCAGUUUUUUCUCAAAUCGAUGCUCGAUGCACUUCCAUUCUCUGUUUGUUAGCUUACGAUGGUGAAUCGGAAUGCCAAGGUAAGAGAAGGGUAAGCUCCCCAACUCGCACCCAAACAAUUGCCUAUAAGACUCCUGGUCGUCUUUGGCUCUACCAAAGCAGAACAAUUCGCUCUUAUGGAAGUUAAUCUUUAACCCGGUCAAUUGUUCGAACAGGCAUAACACCAGCUUCAUAUUUCUCGCCUUGGCCAAAUCAUGCUCCAUAAACAUGAUUGUAUCAUCGGCGUACUGAAGGAUGGAAACACCUCCUUCCCCAAGAUGAGGUACCAACCCACCCACUUGACCAUUCUCCUUAGCCCGUCCUAUCAAAAUUGCUAACAUAUCCACGACAAUGUGAAACAGGAUAGGGGACAUCGGCUCUCCUUGUCUUAGGCCUUUAUGUGUCUGGAAAUAAUGACCUAUGUCGUCAUUCACUUUAAUUCCCACACUCCCUUUUUGCGUAAAUGAUUCAACCUGUCGGCGCCAGGCUUCAUCAAAACCCUUCAUACGCAAUGUCUGUUGGAGGAAUGGCCACUUAACUUUAUCGUACGCUUUUUCGAAAUCCACCUUAAAAAUUACUCCAUCUAAUUUUUUGGAAUGGAUUUCAUGGAGGGUUUCAUGAAGAACCACCACCCCUUCAAGGAUGUUCCUGUCCGGCAUGAAAGCAGUUUGGGAUUGCUGCACCACAGACUACGCAAUCUGUGUGAGCCUAUUAGUCCCGACCUUGGUGAAGAUUUUGAAACUAACAUUGAGGAGGCAGAUCGGCCUGAACUGCUCGAUCCUCACAGCAUCCGUUUUCUUCGGGAGCAAAGUGAUAGUUCCAAAAUUCAAGUGAAAUAAUUGAAGCUGUCCAGAGAAUAAGUCAUGAAACAUAGGUAGUAAAUCCCCCUUAAUAAUGUGCCAGCACUUUUUAUAGAACUCAUCGGGAACCCAUCCGGACCGAGAGCCUUAUUAUUUUUCAUUUGUGCAAUAGCAUCGAACACCUCUUUUUCUGAGAACGGGGCAAUCAGGAUAUCAUUAUCGGCAGCUGUCAAUUGAGGUACAUCCUCAACCCUGGACUCGUCGAGGGACACACAAUUGUCCUCUGGCGGUCCAAAUAACUGUCUAUAGUAUUCGGUAAUAUAGUUUUUGAGAUUAUCCUGACCUAAAAUAGUGCCCUCAUCCUGCUCGAGCUGAAAGAUCCUCUUCUUUCUGUGCUUACCAUUGGCAAUGAGGUGAAAAAAUUGAGUAUUCGCGUCCCCUUGGACUACUUUGCGGACCUUGGCACGCAAAGUCCACUUCAAUUCUUCUUCGCGGAGAAGUUCUUUCAGCCUCUUCUCUGCCUCAUUUUUAACUUGGAGCUCGGCGGGCAGCAACAUCGCGGAUUCGGCUUUUACGUCCAAGGCCUGUACAAGAGAGAGGAGCAUAUCCUUCUCAAUCUUAUACACCCCACUGAGGUGCUUAGACCAACCUCGUAAGAAACUUCUCAAGUGCCUAAUUUUAUUCUGCCAGCGCUCGACCGCCGUCCUUCCUCCAACACCCUUGGCCCACUCCCUGGCUAUGAUGUCUAAGAACCCCUCGCGUUCGAACCAGGCCAUCUCAAAAGAGAAGGUGUUUUUGUUUCCCACAUGGUUCGGCUCCCCUGAGUCAACGAACAAUGGUGUGUGAUCGGAGAUUCCCCGCGUGAGAGCUUGCACCGUAACAAGAGGGAACUUCUGUUCCCACUCUACGCUGGCGAGAACCCGAUCAAGCUUUUCAAAUGUUGGGUUUGGCAUAGCAUUAGCCCAGGUAAACUGUCUACCAGAGAGCUCUAUCUCCCGUAGAUCUAGGCUUUCGAUAAUAGUAUUGAACAUAAACGACCAUCUGCCGUCAAAAUUAUCAUUAUUUUUCUCCUCUCUCCUUCUAAUGAUAUUAAAAUCACCCCCGACCAAAAUCGGAAGCUGUUCGGACCCACAAAUCCGAACAAGAUCCGCCAGAAACUCCGUUUUAAGCUCGGGUUGAGCGGCCCCAUAGACUGCUACCAAAGCCCAGUUGAACCCAUCAACUUUUGACUGUACUCGAAACUUUACCGCGAAGUCACCCAUUACUACACUCCGGACUUCAAGGGAAUCACAUCUCACACCCAGUAAGAUACCUCCCGAUCUACCUCGUGGCGGGAGGCAAUGCCAAUCGAACUCAAGACCACCCACCAGAGAGGAAAGAAACUGUGGCACAAAAUUGUCUCGACCGGUUUCCGAUAGAGCAAUGAAAUCUAAGCGAUGUUCCAGAGAAGCUUCAGCAAGAAACCUUCUUUUAGCCAAGUCCUUCAGACCUCUGCUAUUCCAAAAGAUUCCUUUCAUAGUUCAUCGUGGAAUUUUUUAGCAGUCCGAAUCCUAGCACUCCUACGAACUGCAGAAUCGGGAUAAAUCUUUUGCUUCCACUUACACUUUGGCUUAGUGGGCUCCGUCACCCGGUCCUCAUAACUGGGCUGAACGGAACCGCCAGCUACCUCAUCUAAGGGCUCAUCAUCGCCCUCAGACUCCUGAUUAGAAGGUGCUAGAUCCGCACAAAGGUUAUUAAGCACUCUAACCCCUAACGCAUCAAUUUCAUCAUCAUUCAUGGGUUUGACCGCAGCAAGAUAGCAAAUAGUCUCUAACGCCCGCUCCGCCUCUAAAUCUAACAUAUCAUUCACCGAAUUGGAAAUUUCAUUCUUAGUACUGCCUAGUGAAACUCCUAAUUGGUUUGCAUUAUUAAUAAUCUCCUCAGGAGCAUAAUGCAAUAAAGAAUUAGAUAUGUUAACGGACAUACCAGAAGAUAUCGCAGCAUCGUGAAGCUUGGCCGCCCUCAUGGCGCACCGCUGCUGCAUAUCGUCCACCUCCGGAAGGUCCAUAACGCGAGAACUCAUCUGUCUCCCCGUCAAGACCGGGUCUCAGACCCCGCCAAAAGCAAUAACCUCCACUCGGGAAUGAGGAGGCCGUGGGCUCCCAAUGCCCUCGGAUAAGUGCCCGGCGGGUAGGACAAGAGACGGGACAACUGGGGCCACCUGCCCACUCCCUCCUCCUGCCCCGCCCACCGGCGCAGAGCGAAGCGUGGGAGUCGUCGACGGUGCGGUCCUCCUGACCGCAGAUGAAGAACUCGUAGGAGGAGCAGUCUGCCCGACUACCGGAGAGGAGGGGAGAGCCACGGCCACCUGCCCCAGCUCUCCUCCCAGCGCAGCCGUCGGCACGCGAGCCACCGCCCCAACCGUAGAAGCAGGAGCCGAGGCCUCCUGCCUCGGGCUCGCUACCCCGGCACUAGCCAAGCCGACCGGUACCGGCGCCGCGGUGGGAGAAGAGGCUAGGCUACCUCCCCCACUGCCGACCAACGCCGGCCUCACCGGUGUGACCUGCAGCAGACGACGAGAAGGAGAGGCCGGGGCCACCUGCCCUAGACUCCCCUCCCCAGAUAGCACCUCCGAGCCUGUCGUAAUAUCCCUGCUCGAAGCCACAGUAGUAGGAAGCAAACCCAACUGAGGCUCCACCUCCGUAACCAUCACAGGACUAGCCACCUCAUCAAACUCCAAUGGAGGAAGCAUACAUUCAAAGCAAUCAUCAGUCUCAACCCGAUCACUCCAAAGCCGAGGAGGCGCCGAGGCUGGCUCGAAAGACCCAAAGCGCAAGGAACUCAUUGGUACCGUCGGGGCCGAUGCAGGUUCUACUCCAGAACCAUCACCGGGUAACUGAGCGGCCGUACUAGGCCCAUUGGCCCUCUCUCGUCCUGCCUCCUCAGUCGGGUCAUCACGAGCACCGGCAUCACCAUCCCCCUCGUGCAUGUCCAUAUCAGCCCCAGAACCCACGUCGGCGAACAACUCGGCAUCCUCAAACUCUAUCUCAAGAGGAAACACCUCUCCACGAUAAAACCAGUUAACCAUGUUCGGGAUAAAAUCCGUGUCCAGAACGCCCACCAAAAUCCGGGCCACCCCAUGUGCGCGGGUAAAAGCCAUGUCCACUUCCUCAGUCUUACCCACCAGCAUACCCAAACUCGCCACAACCCGAGCAUCGGUUAAAGCCUCAGAUGGGGCCCCUGAAAACCGCAGCCACACCUGUGUGAGCGGUUUGCCCUUAGGCUCCUCCUUUUUCCACUAGUGAAACUCCAGGAUACACUUAGUACCAGGCAGCCUGCAUAACCCGAAAAUCAACAGCUUCUGUAAGUCAUGCACCGUUGGGCAAUCAACCCUAAAGAUAUUGUCCUCGAUCCGAACAAGCUCCCACUGAAAGUCCCCGGGAACCAGUUCCUGAAGUCUCCGCACAAUUUGAGCCUCAAACACCACCUCUUGGGUGGCUUUCACAAUGCCAGUAGUCAUACUCUGAGCCACAACAGUAAUAUCCCUCGCCGCUGGGGACUCAAAGAAAGUGAGUUCGGCACAAUAUACUCCAUACAUCGUGAGCACAGGAGCCUGAUCACGCAAAACCGGGCAUUCCCCCAUAACAUGAGCACUCUUGCCACACAAGCUACAUAGUUCCGCUACACAUUCUGCAAUAAAGUGGCCUUUCUCACCACAUCGAUAGCACAACAUCUUUUCCUUCUUACGAGCCCAUUUAGAUGCCCUCUCAGCCUCAGCCAUGUCCCCUACCUCGGCCUCUCCAUCGGUAAUAGGGACCUCCACAUUGUCCAAAGCCGUCACCACCUCCAUCGCCUGGCUAGGCAACUCAGUCGCUGCACAGGAUCAAUAGCCAUAUCCGAAGAGGCCUGGUUAACCACGACCGGUGUUGGAGGUGGCUUGCGAAACUGACCACGACCACCACCCCUUCCACCACCACGGCCACCUCGAUGGCCACGGAAACCACCUCUCUGCUGGCUGUUCGGGCCCGAAGUCCCUUCAACGAAGUUACCCGCCGGACCAAGGAAAGGUCUCUCAUCCGAACCAUCACUUUGCCAGGCGUAACCGCGUCCACCUCCCGUAGAGGACGACCCACGGUUCUGGCCUUUUCCAUACACAUCAUAACCAUCAUCUCCCCACUGUCCUCGGGGCGGAUCCGAUGACUCGACAGUCAUGUUGUUAUGUCUCAUCUGCGUCGGACCCGGUCGAUUAUGCUUCGGCCUCGUGAUGUGAUGAGGCAGUGGCGCUGCCCGAGGCUGCACGCCUGCAUUAGUUGCCUGAACCCCCGGCCGAACCCCGUCGACAUGGCCAACCGGUUGAGGAUCAUCAUGCAUCGGCGGCCUUGGCGGCGCAGCUCCGCGCCCCAUGACGGAGGUAGCUGGAGGCCUCGGAGGAGGAGCACCACGGCCCGCGGUGGCCAUCGCAGGCGGCCUCGCCCCGGCCGGUGUGCCAAUGCCUCGGCCCAUCGUGGCCGCAGCCGCACCGCCGAGAGCUCCGGUGCCCCGCCCCGACAGCACGGGCGGCGCCCCCCCAGGACCAGAGCCAAUGACCGGCCGAGGCAGCGUACCACGACCAGCCCCCUCACCAGUAGAGGUUUGGCCUGCUAUAGAGAAACCACGGCCAGAGGCAGCCACCGGCGGCGGCACAGCCGAGGGCAGCGCACCACGGCCACCGCCCGACACAGCCCCAGCCCGGCCCGCCCCAGUAACCUCGGUUGGCUUCUUCCCGCCUGCAUCCCGACUCGCCAUGAACCCUAGCGGAGGGAUGCGACGAGCACGACCCGUAGGAGCCCGCCGAUGUGGAGGGCGCCUUAGCGGAACCCUACGGCGCGAGCACAAGGAGGACGAACCCGAUCGGUCAACGCAUGCGCAAUUCACGUCGACGAUCGAUGUAUCCUCAAUCCCUUCCUUUUUCAGCAAUACUGGACCCGGCCCGACUGCAGCCCCUUCGCACUGGGCCACAUACCCAGCCGAAGGAGGCCCAGUAACCACCGCUGGCCCCCAGGCACCGAUCAGGGAAUUCAAACGCAGGGCCCUCGCCGCCGCGAUCCUGUUCGAAUCUGCCGCCGUUGCCUGCUGCCAGCCGGCCGCCACACGGCCACCUUUCUUCCGUCUUACCACAACCGUCCAUGCCUCCGGCGCAACCAUAUCAAAAACCGUAAGUUUGGGUAGACGUACCUUGGGAAUUGGACCCUUCCACGGCCGAGAUGCGUUCGCCGCCGUCCUGCGGUGGACGACACGCCGGAGCAGCUCCAUCUUCUCUCCGGAUUGCAGGCCUUUCCUCGCCGGAUCCUGGGGAGGGACGACCGUCUCCACGAUCUCGGCCACGUCAUCCUCAUCGUAGCCAGAAGAGAAAGCCUCACAGAUUAUAUCGGAGGGAGUAGGCGAGCCCUUCAUGGAGCUGUUGGAUUGCCCACCUACGUCGUCAUCAUCUCCGCUUUCUUCGUCCGCUAGAGCCCAAAAUCUCCCCCCCCCACUCUGCGUCACUCACCGGAGCGCUGCUUCGAUGGCUUGGAAUCCUCUGUGAGAUCGAUCAAUUCAACAUGAUCAAGAAUCUCCGGUUUCUCCUGCACACGCAAAAGAACUAUAACCUCAAAAAUAUAAAUGAGCAAACGCUUACCUUCGAAGAUCUCUUCAUCAGCUUGGAGGUACACUCCUCCGAGGAUGUCACCAUCCAGAUCGCGCACCGCCAUCCACCUCGACGGGUAGUACGAAUAGAGAACUCCCUCCGCACUGCGGCCACCAUCCCGGAUCUCCUUGAAGGAAAUGUUCCAUUUGGUCGGAUGGAGGAACCCCUCAAAUUCCGCCGUAGCCUGCAGAUCCGGCGAGCCGCCGGCGUCAGACCCCGAGAGCGUCGAGUCAUCCCAAACAGGUCGCGGCGGCGCCGAUCUCCCCGCUGGCGGCGGAUCGGGAGGGGGCGGAAGGGGCGGAGGAGAUGUCGCCUCCAUCAUGAUUCCACCACAACCUAGAUCGGUCGCCUCCCGAUGAGAUACGUAUGUCAGUCCUUUCUCGUGUCUCCAAAUUAAUUCAACGUUGGCUUAUCAAAUAUUUUGUUAACUUCAUGACGGCUGACAAAAUAGUCACACAUCACAAUUAACCAAACAAAGAUGAGGAAGUACUGGAAGCUAUACCAGCUGGGGUAUAGAAGCAGACGUAAGGAAAGACAUCAUCGACCUUACCCAUCUCGCACACCUUCUUCAUCAGCAAUGACUUGAGCUCAAUAGUGAAGAUGCCAUGGUCAUCCGAAGUCACAAAAACAACAUUGGUGUGUUCAGUGGAUCCAAUCAAACGUGCUGGGCUCUUGAAAGGCAUCAGCUUCUGGAGAUGGAUGUCGUUCAUCUUCACCCAUUUGACACCUCCGCGAAAACCGGUCUCAGUCAACCACGGGUGGAGCACGUCACGACCCAAGGUGGCCAAUCCCAGCCCGCCGUUCUCCGCCCUCGUGACAAUAGUGCCCCUUCCAUGAAAUUUGCCGGGAGGCGGCUUGAUCAGCGAUAGGCUCUGUGUGAAGAUCUCUCUUGUGGUCAGUGGAUCGAAGGAAUUUUCAUGGGGAUUCGAGCUAAGAAUUUGAAUUCGGAUGAGGAUUCAUCCCAACCACCCACACCUCUUGUUGGGGAACAUUGCAGAAAACAAAAAAUUUCCUACUCGUUUCACCAAGAUCCAUCUAGGAGUUCAUCUAGCAACAAGUCAUGAGAUGCAUCUACAUACCUUUGUAGAUCGCGUGCGGAAGCGUUCAACGAACGGGGAUGAUGUAGUCGAACACGACGUGAUCCAAAUCACCGAUGACCGAGUGCCGAACGGACAGCACCUCCGCGUUCAACACACGUACGGGACGGGAGACGUCUCCUCCUUCUUGAUCCAGCAAGGGGGAAGGAGAGGUUGGUGAUGAUCCAGUAGCACGACGGCGUGGUGGUGGAUGCAGGGCGUCACAGUAGCAGGGCUUCGCCUAUACUACGCGAGAGAGAGAUGUAACAGGGAGAGAGGGAAGCACCAAAAGCGUAGCCUCAAGUCCCUCCUCUCCCUCACUAUAUAUAGGGGUGCCAAGGGGGGGGCGGCGCUAGGAGAUGGAUCUCCUAGGGGGGCGGCGGCCAAGGGUGGGGGGCUUGCCCCCCAAGGCAAGGGGGCGCCCCCCCUUUAGGGUUUCCCCUAACCCUAGGCGCAUGGGCCCCUUAGGGGGUGGCGCCCCAGCCCACUAAGGGCUGGGUUCCUUCCCACUUCAGCCCAUGGGGCCCUCCGGGAUAGGUGGCCCCACCCGGUGGACCCCCGGGACCCUUCCGGUGGUCCCGGUACAAUACCGGUAACCCCGAAACUUGUCCCGAUGGCCGAAACAACACUUCCUAUAUAUAAUUCUUUACCUCCGGACCAUUCCGGAACUCCUCGUGACGUCCGGGAUCUCAUCCGGGACUCCGAACAACAUUCGGGUUACUGCAUAUACAUAUCUUCACAACCCUAGCGUCACCGAACCUUAAGUGUGUAGACCCUACGGGUUCGGGAGACAUGUAGACAUGACCGAGACGACUCUCCGGUCAAUAACCAACAGCGGGAUCUGGAUACCCAUGUUGGCUCCCACAUGCUCCACGAUGAUCUCAUCGGAUGAACCACGAUGUCGAGGAUUCAAUCAACCCCGUAUGCAAUUCCCUUUGUCAAUCGAUAUAUUACUUGCCCGAGAUUCGAUCGUCGGUAUCCCAAUACCUCGUUCAAUCUCGUUACUGGCAAGUCACUUUACUCGUACCGUAAUGCAUGAUCCCGUGACCAGACACUUGGUCACUUUGAGCUCAUUAUGAUGAUGCAUUACCGAGUGGGCCCAGUGAUACCUCUCCGUCAUACGGAGUGACAAAUCCCAGUCUUGAUCCGUGUCAACCCAACAGACACUUUCGGAGAUACCCGUAGUAUACCUUUAUAGUCACCCAGUUACGUUGUGACGUUUGGUACACCCAAAGCACUCCUACGGUAUCCGGGAGUUACACGAUCUCAUGGUCUAAGGAAAAGAUACUUGACAUUGCAAAACUCUAGCAAACGAACUAUACGAUCUUUAUGCUAUGUUUAGGAUUGGGUCUUGUCCAUCACAUCAUUCUCCUAAUGAUGUGAUCUCGUUAUCAAUGACAUCUUAUGUCCAUAGCCAGGAAACCAUGACUAUCUGUUGAUUAACGAGCUAGUCAACUAGAGGCUUACUAGGGACAUGUUGGUGUCUGUUAUUCACACAUGUAUUACGAUUUCCGGAUAACACAAUUAUAGCAUGAAUGAAGACAAUUAUCAUGAACAAGGAAAUAUAAUAAUAAUGCUUUUAUUAUUGCCUCUAGGGCAUAUUUCCAACAGUCUCCCACUUGCACUAGAGUCAAUAAUCUAGUUACAUUGUGAUGAAUCGAACACCCAUGGAAUUCUGGUGUUGAUCAUGUUUUGCCCUAGGGAGAGGUUUAGUCAACGGAUCUGCUACAUUCAGGUCCGUAUGUACUUUACAAAUAUCUAUGUCUCCAUCCUGAACAUUUUCACGUAUGGAGUUGAAGUGACGCUUGAUGUGCCUUGUCUUCUUGUGAAACCUGGGCUCCUUGGCAAGUGCAAUAGCUCCAGUGUUGUCACAGAAGAGCUUGAUCGUCCCCGACGCAUUGGGUAUGACUCCGAGGUCGGUGAUGAACUCCUUCACCCAAAUUGCUUCAUGUGCUGCCUCCGAGGCUGCCAUGUACUCCGCUUCACAUGUAGAUCCCGCCACGACGCUCUGCUUGCAACUGCACCAGCUUACUGCCCCACCAUUCAAAAUAUACAUGUAUCCGGUUUGUGACUUUGAGUCAUCCAGAUCUGUGUCGAAGCUAGCGUCGACGUAACCCUUUACGACGAGCUCUUCGUCACCUCCAUAAACGAGAAACAUCUCCUUAGUCCUUUUCACGUACUUCAGGAUAUUCUUGACCGCUGUCCAGUGUUCCUUGCCGGGAUUACUUUGGUACCUUCCUACCAAACUUACGGCAAGGUUUACAUCAGGUCUGGUACACAGCAUGGCAUACAUAAUAGAACCUAUGGCUGAGGCAUAGGGGAUGACACUCAUCUCUUCUAUUUCUUCUGCCGUGGUCGGACUUUGAGCCGAGCUCAAUUUCAUACCUUGCAACACAGGCAAGAACCCCUUCUUAGAUUGAUCCAUAUUGAACUUCUUCAAUAUCUUAUCAAGGUAUGUGCUUUGUGAAAGACCUAUGAGGCGUCUCGAUCUAUCUCUAUAGAUUUUGAUGCCUAAUAUAUAAGCAGCUUCUCCAAGGUCCUUCAUUGAAAAACUCUUAUUCAAGUAGGCCUUAAUGCUGUCCAAGAGUUCUAUAUCAUUUCCCAUCAAAAUUAUGUCAUCUGCAUAUAAUAUGAGAAAUGCUACAGAGCUCCCACUCACUUUCUUGUAAACGCAGGCUUCUCCAUAAGUCUGCGUGAACCCAAACGCUUUGAUCAUCUCAUCAAAGCGAAUGUUCCAACUCCGAGAUGCUUGCACCAGCCCAUAAAUCGAGCGUUGGAGCUUGCACACCUUGUCAGCAUUCUUAGGAUCGACAAAACCUUCCGGCUGCAUCAUAUACAAUUCUUCCUUAAGGAAACCAUUAAGGAAUGCCGUUUUGACGUCCAUUUGCCAUAUUUCAUAAUCGUAAAACGCGGCAAUUGCUAACAUGAUUCGGACGGACUUCAGCUUCGCUACCGGUGAGAAAGUCUCAUCGUAGUCAACCCCUUGAACUUGUCGAUAACCCUUAGCGACAAGCCGAGCUUUAUAGAUGGUUACAUUACCAUCCGCGUCUGUCUUCUUCUUAAAGAUCCAUUUAUUCUCUAUGGCUCGCCUUUCAACGGGCAAGUCAGUCAAAGUCCAUACUUUGUUUUCAUACAUGGAUCCUAUCUCGGAUUUCAUGGCUUCUAGCCAUUUGUCGGAAUCCGGGCCCACGAUCGCUUCUUCAUAGUUCGAAGGUUCACCGUUGUCUAACAACAUGAUUUCCAAGACAGGGUUGCCGUACCACUCUUGUGCGGAACGUGUCCUUGUGGACCUUCGAAGUUCAGUAGCAACUUGAUCAGAAGUUUCAUGAUCAUCAUCAUUAACUUCCUCUCUAGUCGGUGCAGGCACCUCAGGAACAUUUUCUUGAGUUGCGCCAUUUUCCGGUUCAAGAGGUAACACUUCAUCAAGUUCUACUUUCCUCCCACUUACUUCUUUAGAGAGAAACUCUUUCUCUAGAAAGGAUCCAUUCUUGGCAACAAAGAUCUUGCCUUCGGAUCUGUGGUAGAACGUAUACCCAAUAGUUUCUUUUGGGUAUCCUAUGAAGACACAUUUUUCCGACUUGGGUUCGAGCUUUUCAGGUUGAAGUUUCUUGACAUAAGCAUCGCAUCCCCAAACUUUCAGAAACGACAACUUAGGUUUCUUUCCAAACCAUAAUUCAAACGGUGUCGUCUCAACGGAUUUUGACGGAGCCCUAUUUAAAGUGAAUGCAGCAGUCUCUAAAGCAUAGCCCCAAAAAGAUAGCGGUAGAUCGGUAAGAGACAUCAUAGACCGCACCAUAUCUAAUAGAGUGCGAUUACGACGUUCGUACACACCGUUACGCUGAGGUGUUCCAGGCGGCGUGAGUUGUGAAACUAUUCCACAUUUUCUUAAGUGUGUGCCAAAUUCGUGACUCAAGUAUUCUCCUCCACGAUCUGAUCGUAGAAACUUGAUUUUCCUGUCACGUUGAUUCUCAACCUCACUCUGAAAUUCCUUGAACUUUUCAAAGGUUUUAGACUUGUGUUUCAUUAAGUAAAUAUAUCCAUAUCUACUCAAAUCAUCAGUGAGGGUGAGAACACAACGAUAGCCACCGCGAGCCUCAACACUCAUUGGACCGCACACAUCAGUAUGUAUGAUUUCCAAUAAGUUGGUUGCUCGCUCCAUUGUUCCUGAGAACGGAGUCUUGGUCAUUUUACCCAUAAUGCAUGGUUCGCACGUGUCAAAUGAUUCAUAAUCAAGAGACUCUAAAAGUCCACCUGCAUGGAGCUUCUUCAUGCGUUUGACACCUAUGUGACCAAGGCGGCAGUGCCACAAGUAUGUGGGACUAUCAUUAUCAACCUUGUAUCUUUUGGUACUCACAUUAUGAACAUGUGUAGUAUUACGUUCGAGAUUCAUAAAGAAUAAACCAUUCACCAUAGGAGCAUGGCCAUAAAACAUAUCUCUCAUAUAAAUAGAACAACCAUUAUUCUCGGAUUUAAAUGAGUAGCCAUCUCGAAUUAAACGAGAUCCCGAUACAAUGUUCAUGCUCAAAGCUGGUACUAAAUAACAAUUAUUGAGGUUUAAAACUAAUCCCGUAGGUAAAUGAAGAGGUAGCGUGCCGACGGCGAUCACAUCGACUUUGGAACCAUUCCCGACGCGCAUCGUCACCUCGUCCUUUGCCAGUCUCCGCCUAUUCCGUAGUUCCUGCUGUGAGUUACAAAUGUGAGCAACUGCACCGGUAUCAAAUACCCAAGAGCUACUACGAUUACUGGUAAGGUACACAUCAAUUACAUGUAUAUCACAUAUACCUUUUGUUUUGCCGGCCUUCUUGUCUGCUAAGUAUUUGGGGCAGUUCCGCUUCCAGUGACCGCUUCCCUUGCAAUAAAAGCACUCAGUCUCGGGCUUGGGUCCAUUCUUUGGCUUCUUCCCGGCAGCUUGCUUGCCGGGCGCGGCAACUUCCUUGCCGUCCUUCUUGAAGUUCUUUUUACCCUUGCCUUUCUUGAACUUGGUGGUUUUAUUGACCAUCAACACUUGAUGUUCCUUUCUGACUUCUACCUCCGCUGAUUUCAGCAUUGAAAACAACUCAGGAAUGGUCUUUUGCAUCCCCUGCAUGUUGGAGUUCAUCACAAAGCUCUUGUAGCUUGGUGGAAGCGACUGGAGGAUUCUGUCAAUGACCGCAUCAUCCGGGAGAUUAACUCCCAGCUGAGUCAAGCGGUUAUGUAAUCCAGACAUAGUGAGUAUGUGCUCACUGACAGAACUGUUUUCCUCCAUUUUACAGCUGAAGAACUUGUCGGAGACUUCAUAUCUCUCGACCCGAGCAUGAGCUUGGAAAACCAUUUUCAGCUCUUCGAACAUCUCAUAUGCUCCAUGUCUCUCAAAACGCUUUUGGAGCCUCGGUUCUAAACUGUAAAGCAUGCCGCACUGAACGAGGGAGUAGUCGUCAACACGUGUCUGCCAAGCGUUCAUAACGUCUUGGUUCUGUGGGACGGGAGCUUCACCUAGCGGUGCUUGUAGGACGUAAUCUUUCUUGGCAGCUAUGAGGAUGAUCCUCAGGUUCCGGACCCAGUCCGUAUAGUUGUUGCCAUUGUCUUUCAGCUUGGUUUUCUCUAGGAACGCGUUGAAGUUGAGGACUACGUGGGCCAUUUGAUCUACAAGACAUAUUGUAAAAUAUUUUAGACUAAUGUUCAUGAUAAUAAAGUUCAUCUAAUCAAAUUAUAUAAUGAACUCCCACUUAGAUUAGACAUCCCUCUAGUCAUCUAAGUAUUACAUGAUCCGAGUUAACUAGGCCGUGUCCGAUCAUCACGUGAGACGGACUAGUCAACGUCGGUGAACAUCUUCAUGUUGAUCGCAUCUUCUAUACGACUCAUGCUCCACCUUUCGGUCUUCUGUGUUCCGAGGCCAUGUCUAUGCACAUGCUAGGCUCGUCAAGUUAACCCUAAGUGUUUUGCAUGUGUAAAACUGUCUUACACCCGUUGUAUGUGAACGUAAGAAUCUAUCACACCCGAUCAUCACGUGGUGCUUCGAAACGACGAACUUUAGCAACGGUGCACAGUUAGGGGAGAACACUUCUUGAAAUUGUUAUGAGGGAUCAUCUUAUUUACUACCAUCGUUCUAAGUAAACAAGAUGCAAAACAUGAUAAACAUCACAUGCAAUCAAAUAAUAAAUGUGACAUGAUAUGGCCAAUAUCACAUAGCUCCUUUGAUCUCCAUCUUGGGGCUCCAUGAUCAUCUUGUCACCGGCUUGACACCAUGAUCUCCAUCAUCAUGAUCUCCAUCAUCGUGUCUCCAUGAAGUUGCUCGCCAACUAUUACUUCUACUACUAUGGCUAACGCGUUUAGCAAUAAAGUAAAGUAAUUUACAUGGCGUUUCUCAAUGACACGCGGGUCAUAUAAAAGAAUAAAGACAACUCCUAUGGCUCCUGCCGGUUGUCAUACUCAUCGACAUGCAAGUCGUGAUUCCUAUUACAAUAGCAUGAACAUCUCAUACAUCACAUAUAGAUCAUUCAUCAUUCAUCACAACUUUGGCCAUAUCAUAUCACAAACCACUUGCUGCAAAAAACAAGUUAGACGUCCUCUAAUUGUUGUUGCAAGUUUUACGUGGCUGAAUUAGGGUUCUAGCAAGAACGUUUUCUUACCUACGUGAAAGCCACAACGUGAUUUGUCAACUUCUAUUUACCCUUCAUAAGGACCCUGUUCAUCGAAUCCGCUCCAACUAAAGUGGGAGAGACAGACACCCGCCAGCCACCUUAUGCAACUAGUGCAUGUUAGUCGGUGGAACCGGUCUCACGUAAGCGUACGUGUAAGGUUGGUCCGGGCCGCUUCAUCCCACAAUACCGCUGAAGCAAGAAAAGACUAGUAGCGGCAAGAAAGUUGACAAAUCCACGCCCACAACAAAUUGUGUUCUACUCGCGCAAGAAGAACUACGCAUAGACCUAGCUCAUGAUGCCACUGUUGGGGAACGUUGCAGAAAACAAAAAAAUUCCUACUCGUUUCACCAAGAUCCAUCUAGGAGUUCAUCUAGCAACGAGUCAUGAGAUGCAUCUACAUACCUUUGUAGAUUGCGUGCGGAAGCGUUCAACGAACUGGGAUGAUGUAGUCGAACACGACGUGAUCCAAAUCACCGAUGACCGAGUGCCGAACGGACGGCACCUCCGCGUUCAACACACGUACGGGACGGGAGACGUCUCCUCCUUCUUGAUCCAGCAAGGGGGAAGGAGAGGUUGGUGAUGAUCCAGCAACACGACGGCGUGGUGGUGGAUGCAGGGCGUCACAGUAGCAGGGCUUCGCCUAUACUACGCGAGAGAGAGAUGUAACAGGGAGAGAGGGAAGCACCAAAAGCGUAGCCUCAAGUCCCUCCUCUCCCUCACUAUAUAUAGGGGUGCCAAGGGGGCGGGCGCCGGCCCUAGGAGAUGGAUCUCCUAGGGGGGCGGCGGCCAAGGGUGGGGGGCUUGCCCCCCAAGGCAAGGGGGCGCCCCCCCUUUAGGGUUUCCCCUAACCCUAGGCGCAUGGGCCCCUUAGGGGGUGGCGCCCCAGCCCACUAAGGGCUGGGUUCCUUCCCACUUCAGCCCAUGGGGCCCUCCGGGAUAGGUGGCCCCACCCGGUGGACCCCCGGGACCCUUCCGGUGGUCCCGGUACAAUACCGGCAACAACGAAACUUGUCCCGAUGGCUGAAACAACACUUCCUUUAUAUAAUUCUUUACCUCUGGACCAUUCCGGAACUCCUCGUGAUGUCUGGGAUCUCAUCCGGGACUCCGAACAACAUUCGGGUUACUGCAUAUACAUAUCUUCACAACCCUAGCAUCACCGAACCUUAAGUGUGUAGACCCUACGGGUUCGGGAGACAUGUAGACAUGACCGAGACGACUCUCCGGUCAAUAACCAACAGCGGGAUCUGGAUACCCAUGUUGGCUCCCACAUGCUCCACGAUGAUCUCAUCGGAUGAACCACGAUGUCGAGGAUUCAAUCAACCCCGUAUGCAAUUCCCUUUGUCAAUCGAUAUAUUACUUGCCCGAGAUUCGAUCGUCGGUAUCCCAAUACCUCGUUCAAUCUCGUUACCGGCAAGUCACUUUACUCGUACCGUAAUGCAUGAUCCCGUGACUAGACACUUGGUCACUUUGAGCUCAUUAUGAUGAUGCAUUACCGAGUGGGCCCAGUGAUACCUCUCCGUCAUACGGAGUGACAAAUCCCAGUCUUGAUCCGUGUCAACCCAACAGACAAUUUCGGAGAUACCCGUAGUAUACCUUUAUAGUCACCCAGUUACGUUGUGACGUUUGGUACACCCAAAGCACUCCUACGGUAUCCGGGAGUUACACGAUCUCAUGGUCUAAGGAAAAGAUACUUGACAUUGCAAAACUCUAGCAAACGAACUAUAUGAUCUUUAUGCUAUGUUUAGGAUUGGGUCUUGUCCAUCACAUCAUUCUCCUAAUGAUGUGAUCUCGUUAUCAAUGACAUCUUAUGUCCAUAGCCAGGAAACGAUGACUAUCUGUUGAUUAACGAGCUAGUCAACUAGAGGCUUACUAGGGACAUGUUGGUGUCUGUUAUUCACACAUGUAUUACGAUUUCCGGAUAACACAAUUAUAGCAUGAAUGAAGACAAUUAUCAUGAACAAGGAAAUAUAAUAAUAAUGCUUUUAUUAUUGCCUCUAGGGCAUAUUUCCAACACCUCUAUCUGUUACAAGCGAGCCACGGCCGUAGCCGUCCAAAUCCUAGCCAAAGUGAGACGAUGGACUACUAUAGCUAUUUAACUGCUCGAGGUCGAGGGCGAUUUCGUCUCGGAUCCCAUCCGCCCGCGCCGACAUGAGGCUGUCGAGGGUCGCGUUGUUGGCCUCGAUCAUCUUGCUCAUCGACUUGAGAAGCGACUCACCGUGAGUCCGGAGCUUGUUGUCCAUGUCGCUUGUGAACUCAUGGCGAAGUAGUUCGUAGACGGUGCGACUGUCGGCGUUGAGCUCUUCCAUGGCUUGGAUCUGUUGCCGCUCGCCAAAUCGCGUCACGUAGUGGUGGGGCGGCAACUCCAGGUCGACGAGGCUCUGAUUCCCAGAUGUGAAGAUCUCUCUUGUGGUCAGUGGAUCGAAGGAAUUUUCAUGGGGAUUCGAGCUAAGAAUUUGAAUUCGGAUGAGGAUUCCUCCCAACCACCCACACCUCUAUCCGUUACAAUCGAGCCACGGCCGUAGCCGUCCAAAUCCUAGCCAAAGUGAGACGAUGGACUAUUGUAGCUAUUUAACAGUACACCCACUCAGCGGGCCCAGUUUGGGCUAGCAAGCCACUGGGGAAGCCUUUUGGGCCGGUUGGACUUGGGCCUUGGGCCCAGUGGGACUGGCGCCUUGCUCUUGUCGGCACGAUCCUGAGCGGCUACAGGCCUUCUGUCCUCAUCUUCAGGUUCAGGUGUUGCAUCUUCAGAGAUAACAGGAACAGGGCUGUUGACAUCCCCCCUCCGAUGAGAAACGGCUUGACCCCAAGCCGCCGAGCGGGGAAAUUGUUGACGGAGAGAAUCCAGGUCCUCCCAGGUCGCCUCCUCUGGAGACGAUCCGCUCCACUGGAUCAAACCCUGAGCAAUUGUACGCUUGCCUUGUCGACGCACGCGCUGCUGAAGAACACGCUGCGGAACCUGUAGAGAAGCAAAAGACGACGGCAGUUUACAAGCAACAGGGCAGUUAGGUAAGACCUCCUUUUUCAGUUGAGAGAUAUGAAAAACGGGGUGGACUCGGCUGUCAGGAGGUAAUUGCAGUUUGUAGGCUACUUCACCAUUUUUUUCCAGAAUACUGUAUGGGCCGUAGUACUUGUAGGCCAGCUUGUGGUUAGCUCUAUGCACAACCGACGACUGCACAUAAGGCUUUAGUUUGAGGAACACUUGUUCGCCAACCUCAAAACUUCUAUCAGUUCUUUUUUUGUCUGCCAUGUGCUUCAUCCGUUGCUGGGCUCGAAACAAAUGUUGUUUGACAGAAGCCACCACUACUUCUCUGUCCUGCAGCCACUGUUGUAUGUCCAUUGGAGCUACUGUAUCACUAACAGAGUUGCCAAAGUACCUUGGAGAAUGGCCAUACAACACUUCAAAAGGUGUUUUGCCCACAGCAGAAUGCCAAUUAGUGUUAUACCAGAAUUCACACAUCGAUAACCAUUUGCUCCACUUGGAUGGAUGAGAAAUGAUGAAACUUCUCAGGUAGCAUUCCACUUGUUGGUUGACUCGCUCGGUUUGCCCAUCAGUAGCAGGAUGGUAGGCAGAACUCAUAUUCAGUUGUGUGCCAGUCCUGUGAGUCAGGGUUUGCCCAAAAUUACUUGUAAAAACAGGAUCUCUGUCUGAGACAAUGUACUCUAGCAUUCCAUGCAGUUUAUAAACAUUGUCAAGGAAUAUUUCAGCCACUUUCUGUGCAGAGAAAGGAUGUUUUAGAGGCAUGAAAUGACCAUAUUUGGUAAACUUAUCUAUGACCACCAAAAUGCAAUCAAACUGAUGUGAAUGCGGUAGCCCAGUAAUGAAAUCCAUAGUGACAGUCUCCCAUGCUUUGUUUGGAACCGGCAAGGGAGAUAACAGCCCUGGAUACUCUACUCUCUCAGGUUUAGCUUGUUGACAAACUAGACAGGACUGCACUUUGUCCUUGAUAAACUUUUUCAUACCAGUCCAUCUGAACAAAGAGUGGAUUCUAUGAUAUGUAACAGGAAACCCAGAAUGACCACCAAUGGGACUAUCAUGGAAGGCAGAGAAGAUCUUGUCAUGCAGCUCCACACUGUUCCCCACCCACAGCCUUUGUAUCUCAACAACCCUUGAAUCAAUUGGAAAUUAGGUUUAGCAGAGGGAUUAACAGCUAAUGCUUGCAACAGUUCAGUGGCCUUGUCAUCUGCAGCAUAACUAGCUACUACAUCUUCCAACCACACAGGAUAUGAUCUGGAAAUGUGAAAUAACUAAAAGGAAUGAGGCCUUCUAGAAAGAGCAUCUGCAGCUGAUUUUUCCACCCCCUUUUUGUACACAAUGUUAUAGUUCAGGCCCAUGAGCUUGGUCAAUGCUUUCUGCUGCCAAACAGUGUGCAAUUUUUGAUUUUGCAAGUGUACAAGGCUCUUCUGGUCAGUUCUAAUAGUGAAUUGCUGGAACUGCAAGUAAGGUCUCCAAUGAUCAACAGCUAAUAAGAUAGCUAGAUAUUCCUUUUCAUAAACUGAAAGAGCUCUAUUCUUGGGCCCUAAAGCUUUACUCAUAUAGGCCAGUGGGUGUCCUUCUUGCAUUAGAAUAGCUCCAAUGCUUAACUCACAUGCAUCAGUUUCUAUAACAAAAGGUUUGUUAUAUUGAGGGAGGGCUAGUACUGGAGCUUCAAUCAAUGCUUUCUUCAAUGUUACAAAAGAUGUAUCUGUGAUUUCAGUCCAGACAAAUGGGACUCCCUUCUUAAGCAGUUCAGUCAGGGGCUUGCUGAUCACUCCAUAGUGUUGAAUGAAUUUCCUAUAAUAACCACUCAACCCAAGGAAACCUCUGACUUCCUUGACAUUAGUUGGAGUAGGCCAUUGCUCUACUGUUUGGAUUUUGCUAGGAUCUGUUGCAACUGCUUGAGCAGUUAUGGUAUGCCCCAAAUAACCAAUCUGUUGUUGAGCAAAAGCACACUUUGACAUUUUGAUUUUCCAUUGAUCAGCUCUUAGCAAAACCAACACUUCUCUAACAUGUUUUAAGUGCUCCUCAUAUGACUUGCUGAAAAUCAGAAUGUCAUCAAAGAAAACCAAGGUAUUCUUCCUGUUAACAGGGGACAAGGUGUUGUUCAAGGCCCCCUGGAAUGUUCCUGGAGCUUCACUCAGUCCCAUGGCCAGAACAUUAAACUCAUAGUGGCCAAGAUGAGUUUGGAAAGUUGUUUUAUAUUCCUCCCCCUCAGCUAGUCUGAUCUGAUGGUAACCAGCCCUGAGAUCCAAUUUAGCGAACCAAGGAGCACCAGAUAGUUCAUCCAAAAGCUCAUCAAUCACAGGUACUGGGAAUUUCCCUUUUACAGUGAUAGCAUUUAACAUCCUGUAGUCCACUACUAAUUUCCAUUCCCCUCCCUUUUUCUUAACUAGAAGCACUGGAGAAGAAAAAGGACUUUUGCUUGGUCUAAUGAUGCCUGACUUUAACAUUUCUGCAAUUUUCUUUUCAAGUUCAUCCUUUAACUGUGGUGCUAUCCUGUAAGGUCUAACUGUGACUGGUCUAGCUCCUGGAAUUAAAGUGGUUUUGUGGUCACACUCUCUUCUGGGUGGUAACUGAGUAGGAGUUUCAAAAACCUCAGCAAAUUCCUCUAAUAACAAUUGGAUUUCUGGGGUUACAGCAGGUUGUCCUUCAGUUUGAAGUGCAGAUAUAGCAACACAUGUGUAAGCACAUUCUUCAGAACCAAUGCCAUGUAAAGUGACUGUCUGUCCCUCCUUGUUAAAGGACAACCAUUUCUCAACCCAGUCAAUAUACAUGGGACUGUGUUGAGCUAGCCAAUCCAACCCCAAUAUGCCAUCAUAAGUUUGCAGGGGAAACAACUUGAAAUCUGAAAUAAAUUUAGCACCAUUGGACUGCCACACACAAUUUUUGAUUUGUUGUUGACACUGAAUUGUUGAACCACCAGCUACUGUAACUGUGAUUGUUUUAAUGGGACUGACACCUGCUAAUGAACUGUGCUGCAAAUCCAAGAAGGUGUGUGUAUUGCCUGAGUCAACUAGAAACUGAAAGGUGUGGCCCUGCAAUUCAAUCUCCAAUUGCAAAACAGGAGCUUCUGGUUCCUUUUCCAUAGCUGCAGCUGAUAACCUGAUGGAAUGAACCGAAGAUUGUUUAGGCUGUUCACUGUCAGAGUCAGAAUCUUCAGUGGAAUUGGAUUGUAAUUGUUCUAUCAUCUCUUGAACAAAAUGCAGUUGAACUGUGGCCUUGCACAUGUGAUCCUUAGACCAUUUCUCUCCACACACAAAACACAGGCCCUUGGACUUUCUAUAAUUUCUAAGUGAUGUCCACUUGUCUUCCUGAGCUACACCACUGACAGAGUCUAAACUUCGUGUGUCAUCCUGUUUCUGAACCCUCGAGCUGGUAUAACUAGAAGCAGUGCCCGAUUUCUUUGGAGCAGAACUUGAGGUGGACGAGUACAUUUCUCCUAAUUCCUCAUGGAGCAGAGCUAGUUCAUACGCAUCAUCUAAAUACUUGGGUUUCUGCAAUGGCACCGCCAUCCUUACUCCAGGUUUCAGCCCAUCCAAGAACCGGGUGGUGUAAUGCAGGGAGUUGGGUGUAUCUUCAAACGCUGUCAACUGAUCAUACAACUCUGCAAAGCGUUCAACAUAGUCUUCUACAGUAGUUGUUUGAGCAAUUUGGAACAGCUUCCUGAGCAGAGUUUGGUGUUUGUUUCGCCCAAAAUGACCCUGUAACGCAGCACAGAACUCUGACCAGUUGGUAUUUGGCAUGCGCCUGUGCAUAGAUUCAAGCCAUCGAGAAGCAGCACCUUCGAAUUGAGCUGUAGCCAGAGACAACCAUCUGUGAGGAGGCGUGCUCCACAACUUGAACUGCUCUUCGCAUCUGUUCUGCCACAUUCUCGAAUUUGACCCAUCGAACUUGGGAAUCUCCAGAUGCAUGGAAAACGAGGAAUACUCAGCAGUAUCUAUCGUAUGUGGAUCACGGGGAGAAAAAUUUCUGGGAGAGAAAACGGAAUCGCGCGCACCUCUGACUGGAGGAGGGACAUAGAUGUUAUGUGCCUUCCCCCGGUUUUCGUUGUCGAAGCCAAGGGCGCUGGUCGCGGCCGCGCUACAACCUGGCCCAUCGUUGCGCGAAGAGGUCCCGUCAACCUUGGGGUCUGGAUCCGGCGGUUCCAUCUUGUAGAAAUCCGUCCUGGUCUGCUCGAGAUCGAGGGCGAUUUCGUCUCGGAUCCCAUCCACCCGCGCCGACAUGAGGCUGUCGAGGGUCGCGUUGUUGGCCUCGAUCAUCUUGCUCAUCGACUUGAGAAGCGACUCACCGUGAGUCCGGAGCUUGUUGUCCAUGUCGCUUGUGAACUCAUGGCGAAGUAGUUCGUAGACGGUGCGGCUGUCGGCGUUGAGCUCUUCCAUGGCUUGGAUCCGUUGCCGCUCGCCGAAUCGCGUCGCGUAGUGGUGGGGCGGCAACUCCAGGUCGACGAGGCUCUGAUUCCCAGAUGUGAAGAUCUCUCUUGUGGUUAGUGGAUCGAAGGAAUUUUCAUGGGGAUUCGAGCUAAGAAUUUGAAUUCGGAUGAGGAUUCCUCCCAACCACCCACACCUCUAUCUGUUACAAUCGAGCCACGGCCGUAGCCGUCCAAAUCCUAGCCAAAGUGAGACGAUGGACUACUGUAGCUAUUUAACAGUACACCCGCUCAGCGGGCCCAGUUUGGGCUAGCAAGCCACUGGGGAAGCCUUUUGGGCCGGUUGGACUUGGGCCUUGGGCCCAGUGGGACUGGCGCCUUGCUCUUGUCGGCACGAUCCUGAGCGGCUACAGGCCUUCUAUCCUCAUCUUCAGGUUCAGGUGUUGCAUCUUCAGAGAUAACAGGAACAGGCCUGCUGACACUCUGCUUACCGCAGCAGGGCACCCGACUGGCAGACGAAGUUGAGCGUGCCCCCAACAAGCACGUCGGACCGAUCAGCCUCGAGGCUGUAUGGGCAGCCCUCAUCGAACUGCCCAUCGUUGUAAUCGAGGUAGAUGCCGUCUGGUCCCCUCCGCACGCCGGUCUUAGACGAGUACAAGCGAGCGUCCGCCUGUACCAAGUCCAUGACGUGCACGCCCGCGGAGGCCAUGAGGAACGCCCCGCCGCUGCAGGCGCUGUGGUCGCAGCCGGCGCCCGCGGCGCAGAGCACCACGUGGUUCGUGUAGCGAUCCGGCAAAUCGUCGGGCAUCCGGCGCUCGCGGCCAGUGACGGGAUCCCAGACGAGGAUCUGUAGUCAUAGAGGAGGGCGCGGCCGUGGCGGCAGUCGAGCACAAUGGAGGUGCGGUGGUCGGUGGAGGCGGGCGGACGGAACGCCGUGGUGGGGACGAAGCGAGCGAGGCGGCGGUUUACCGGGUUGUGGAGGAAGCCGAGCACGAGGGGCGUGCCGUGGAAGUCGCGGUAGCGGCGGACGAAGGCGGGCUCGGUGAGGGCGCGGAGCCAGGACUUGCAGACGGCGGAGGAGGCCCGCGGGGUCGUCCGGCGGCAGGCGCAGGAGGACCUCGGCAACGGCGUCCGAGACCAGCUCCGGUGGCGGCGCCAUGGAGGGCGGAUGCGAGGGUUUUGGGCGGGGAUUGGGGAAUGGGGAUAGCAGAAAAGCGAGUGAGGAAGAGGGGGGAUUUUUUUUCUGAGAAAUAGGAAGAGGGAGGAUGGGUUGUCCCGUGCUGCGCGCUGCGGGUUCCAACGGGCCCCUUUUACGAGAACUGAAAGGCCCAAAUAACAGGAACAAAUCUUUCUGUUUUCAAAGACAUUGAGCAUUUUAUUUCACAAAUAAAAGUCUAAAAAAUCACAAAUAAAAACAUCCCAUGGAAUUUUGAAACAUAUUUCAAGCAAAAAAACAUAUGGAAAAUUUAUAUCAAUGAAAAAAUAUUAAUAAAAUACAUUUUAUUUGACAACCAUAGAUAUAUUUUUGUGGAAAGCGAGAUAAAUGUUAAGAAAAAAGUUUAUAAGGGUAGAAUAUUUCUUUCAGUCAAAACAAGUAGAGUGAAUAUUUUAUUUGUCACAGUGAAUGCUUAAAGAUUCUACAAGAUGAACAUUUUUCAUUGAUGUCGAAACAUAUUUUGGAAUUAUCUAUCAAAAAUUGGUGGGACAGUUGAUCGCAAAGGAUUCAAAGGAGGCGAGUAGACGUGGAAGUGGUAGACUCAUCUUCACCAUAUAGAACAUCUAGAAGGAGAAGAACGGGCAUGUUUUUACGUGCCAUUCUAUGAGGUGGCAAAGUUGGAUUAUGAGGUCAUCAAACGAUGUGAGAUGGCGUUUUUGGGAGCCAUGCCUACGGAGGGCAUUGAGCAACUUUUGCAUUUCAUAUUACUCUUUCCUCUCAAGUUAGGGUUUCUUUUUUCCUCUACUGACUGCAAUGCCUAGGGCACUCAUCCUCUGAAAACUUCGCCGGCGAGCCUGUGGAUCCAUCUCCUCCUUGCCUGCCGCUCAGGGAGUCGAUGGCGGGGAUGAGGAUCUUGGAGCCUCAACCUCUGCUAAUAGUCUAGGUUAGGCUUUUCUCAUAGGGCAGCAUUCAGGCAUAUGGCGGCACUUUAUCUAUGAGAUGUCUUCCGGGUUCCGAUCCUCCUCGAGUUCGUCCAUCGGGGCGGAGUCGGUGGAGCUCUAGCGUAGAGUACUGUCAUGUCCUUCAAAAAUGCAUUACUAAUUGUGUUCCCAUAGCAAAGCAAGGACCGUCCAUACAAUAUUUUGUAUGUGUAUGUGCACGUGAGGUGUAUGUGCGUCUGCAUAUGUCGUGCACGGCAAACAGACAGUGCCGCUGCAUGCUUAAUGUUCAUAGUCAAUCAUAUGCUACCAAAGCGGGAUUUUUAACGACACUUGUACCUACUGGCACAUCUGUUGCCCUUCAUUUGACAUCAAGAUUGGUGCGCUGACUUGAAGUAUGAAGGUACUAAAUAUUUUACUGCAUAUAUACAUUGCAAUACACUCUGAUAGCGUUCCACGAUAUCAACUUUCCGUCGAGUAAAAGUAGGGAAGGAUGGGUGGUUGCAUGCACACAAAUUCUCUCUCUCUCCCUCUCUUCACCCAAUAGAAAGCUAGCAGUUGAUGUUGAGAUUGCUGGAGCUAGCUGGAUGAGGGCGACUGGGGCGACUCCCCGGAAGACCGCGGAGGCGUCCGCCGCGCCGUGUCCUCCCGCUGCGGCUGCUCGGGCGGGCAUUGGCGGUCGCUUCUGGGCCCUAUUGGCUACAGACGAGGAGGAGGCCGACGGAGAUAGCGACGACUCAGAGGGUUCGCCGCCGUCGCCUACGCCUUCGAAUCUGAUUUGCGAUCUGUUUCAUGCAGGGUAUGACGAAGAUGAGGUGGGCACUACCGUAGACACGGUCGUGCCGGUGGAGGAUCCGGCGAGGGUUGGGCUUCUUCUGGACGAGAGGAAGGAAUUGGUACGCCGUGUCGUUCACCGGAGAAAUGCGGCAUCUGUGGUCAGACUGUGGAAGGGACCGUUGCCUAAGGUACGCCUUCCAAACCUCACUUUGUUCGAUUUAAUCCAUCUGGAUUCAUGGACGGUGGUCAAGAAGAGAAAGGCUGCUCGUCGGCCGAGAGCCGGAUCACUGCCGGCGGCGGCGGCUGUGGUGCCGUCGAGGUUGCCGUGCGGGAUCCGAGCGGCUCGCAGCGAGCGCUUGAACGAACUAUUGGGCCGAUGUGGGCCGGAUUCUAAUUGCGUUGACGCACUGCAACGUGGGCCGGAUAUGGCUGGGUAUGACGCCCAGGCCAUACCGGGCGACACAUGCACAACAUCUAGCGCCGCAUGCACGGACGUAAUCUCCUCCUACGCGUGCGUAUCUGCUUCUUCGCCUAGGGUUCGUCGACGUGGGACACCCGUUCUACCUCCGUGCGGUCCUGGUCGUGCUCGCCGGAUCCCGCCACUGCGUGCGAUGGCCGGUCGAGGAGCGGGUGGGCCGCCGACGGCGCAGCCCCAAGCGGCUGCGAGUAUGGCGGGGGCCGUCGUGCCGCCGCCGCCGCCUGGGAGGGCCGGUCGAGGGGUCCCCGGCGCGGGGCUCGGCGCAGCUGGCGCUGGGCGAGCUGUAGUCGGGGCCGGGCGUGGCGCUCCCGCCCCCUCAGGACGGGUUGGCGGCAACCAAGGGGCACGGCCGCCCGUGCCUACGACGGCUCGGCCGCCGGUGGUGCCUACGGGCAGUGGAGGACCUGCUGGUCCCCGACCUCCGGGACCAACGCCUGCCAGGCCGCCGGGCUUACCCGCGGGAAGAGGAGGCCCAGUAGGGCCGCGACCUCCGGGGCCAUCGCCUCAGGUGGCUACUGUCAUGGGUCGUAGCGGCGGGUUUGGUCCUAGACCUGUGCUGCCGGCCUCGGGUGGUGCUCCGCCUCGGGCGGCUCCGCCGCCGCACUAUGCCGCGAGGCCGGCUCAGUAUCGGUCAGGGUCUUCGCAGCCUAGGAAGGAGUUGACAGUUCGAGAGUCUUUUGAGGCGCCCCGAGGUCAGUGGGGUGAUGAUGGUGUUGAUGCGUAUGGAGACGGACAGCACCGCGGUUCCUCGUCUACUGGUGGAGGCCGAGGCUAUACUUGGCAGAGUGACGGGUCUGCUGAGAGACCUUUCCUUGGACCUCCUAGUGGCUUUGUCGAGGGGGCAUCCGGUCCGGAUCACCGCCAGAGAGGUGGAUUCCGUGGACGUCGGGGUGGUCGGGGUGGGGCCCGUGGGAGGUUUCGUCGGCAACCUCCGCCUCCGGUUGCUGUUGACCAUGGGGCUACUGCGGUUGAGACAGAUACUUCUCAGUCUAUGGAUAUUACUACUCAGGCAAUGGAGGUGGUAACGGCACUGGCCAAGGUUGAUGUUCCGGUGCCUGGGGUUGUGGGUGAAACAUCAGACAGGUCUGACUCUGAGAGGGCGGCCAAGUGGGCGCGCAAGAAGGAAAGGAUGCUGUGUUACCGGUGUGGUGAGAAGGGCCAUUUUAUUGCAGAGUGCGUCGCAGAGCUGUGUGACUCGUGUGGCAAGCUUGCACAUGACUCGGGAGAUUGCCCGUUAGUGCGUGACCAGGCUCCAUCUCUGACUAUGUAUGGGCUGUACUGUGCGGAGUUAUUGUUCUUCGAGUCCCCGGCCGCGAGGGAGAUUCCCGAGGAUACACAGUGCCUGACUACUGGGAUUGUGAAAGCAACUCAGGGCGAGGUAACUAAGGCUCAGAUUAUCCAGAGGCUUCAGGAGUUGGCACCGGUGGACUUUCAGUGGGAGUUGGUCAGUCUCGAAGCUAAUGUCUUUAAGGUGGAUUUCCCUUCUGUGGAGGAUUUACAGAAAUUGCUGAGUUUUGGCUUGUGUAGAGUUCCUGGUACUACGUGUAUUUUGGAGUUUCACGAGUGGACGAAGGUGGAGCCUAAAGGCAAGCCGCUUACGCAGAUCUGGUUGCGGUUUUCUGGGGGCCCAUCUAAGCCUCUGCAGGACGUUCGAGUUGUAGCCAGUAUGGGUAUCAUGGUUGGAAAGACAGAGAGAGUGGAUAUGGCUUUCACUCGGGCUCAUGGAGUGGCUCGGAUAUUGGUGAGUGUUCUGAAUGUUGACUUCGUGCCUGAUGUCGUUCACUGGACAUUUAGGGGAGAUGUAUUCCUGCUCGACAUAGAGUUUGAGGACGUUGAGAUGUUCGCUGACGAGGUUGCUGGGGAUGAUGUUGAUAUGCACGAGAGUGAUGGUGGUGCAGGAGCCAAGGGGGCGCCAGACGAGUCUGCUCGAGAGGGGUCGACCGGACCUCGUCCAGAUGCUCAGUUGCCUGAGGAGGGGACCGGAGCUGGCUCGACACCGUCACCUUCGGUGCCCAUGACAACACUGCGUUUUGGGUCCUUUGAGCCUGCUUCUGCGCCUCCCAGGCUGUGGAGCGACAGGGUAGAGACUGAUGAUGAGUUUGAGCACACGCUUCCUUCUUUGGACUUUGCGGGGAUUGCAGUUCGGGAUGUAGAGCUGGAGGUCGCUCCUAUUUCCCUUGCUGUACCGGUUGAGGUGGCUCCGACAUUGUCAUCUAUGACCGAGGUGGGCCUUUCGGGACGGGGGUCAGGGCAGGUGGCCUUGUCCUCUCCCCUCCCUAUACAGACGCCGGUGUCACCGGCCACGUCGGGGGCCGCCAGCGAUAGAAGCGGGAGCCCGAGGCAGGUGGCUUCGGCUCUCCCUCCUCAGGCCCUGGCUGUGGCGCCAGCAUCCCCCGGGACGCUGGGGGAGGAGGGGCUGGGGCAGGUGGCCCUAGACCUCCCUUCAUCGUCUGUGGUCAGCAGGACCGCUUUCUCGGCGACUUCGACGCUCCGCUCUGAGCCGGUGGGCGGGGCAGGAGGAGGGAGUGGGCAGGUGGCCCCAGUUGUCCCGCCUCUUGCCAUACCUGCCGGGCACUUGUCCGAGGGCAUCGGGAGCCCGCAGCUUCCUCAUUAUCGAGAGGAGGUUGUUGCCUUUGGCGGUAUCCCAGACCCGGUCUCAACGGGGAGACGGAUGAGUGCUCGCGUUCUGGACCUUCCGGAGGUGGACGAUAUGCAGUAGCGGUGCGCUAUGAGGGCGGCCAAGCUUCAUGAUGCUGCGAUAUCUACUGGUAUGUCCGUUAACAUAUCUAAUUCUUUAUUGCAUUUUGCUCCUGAGGAGAUUGUUAAUAAUGCAAACCAAUUAGGAGUUUCACUAGGCGCUACUGAUAUUGAAAUCUCCAAUUCGGUGAAUGACAUGUUAGAUUUAGAGGCGGAGCGGGCCUUAGAGACUAUUCGUAAUCUUGCUGCGGUCAAACCCAUGAAUGAUGAGGAAAUUGAUGCGUUAGGGGUUAGAGUGCUAAAUAAUCUAUGUGCGGACCUAGCACCUUCUAAUCAGGAGUCGGAGGGCGAUGAUGCGCCCUUAGAUGAUGUAGAUAUCAGUUCUGUUCAGUCCGGUUAUGAGGACCGGGUGACGGAGCACACUAAGCCAAGGUGUAAGUGGAAGCGAAAGAUUUAUCCCGACUCUGCUGUUCGUAGGAGUGCUAGGAUUCGGACUGCUAAAAAAUUCCAUGAUGAACUAUGAAAGGAAUCUUUUGGAAUAGCAGAGGUCUGAAAGACUUGGCUAAAAGAAGGUUUCUUGCCGAAGCUUCUCUGGAACAUCGGUUAGAUUUCGUUGCUCUGUCGGAAACCGGUCGAGAGAAUUUUGCGCCGCAGUUUCUUUCCUCUCUUGUGGGUGGUCUUGAUUUCGAUUGGCAUUGCCUCACGCCACGAGGUAGAUCGGGGGGCAUCUUACUGGGUGUGAGAUGUGAUUCCCUUGAAGUCCGGAGUGUAGUAAUGGGUGACUUCGCGGUAAAGUUUCGAGUUAGGUCUAAAGUUGAUGGGUUCAACUGGGCUUUGGUAGCGGUCUAUGGUGCUGCCCAACCCGAGCUUAAACCGGAGUUUCUGGCGGAUCUUGUUCGGAUAUGUGGGUCCGAACAACUUCCGAUUUUGGUCGGGGGUGAUUUCAAUAUCAUUAGAAGGAGAGAGGAGAAAAACAAUGAUAACUUCGACGGCAGGUGGUCGUUUAUGUUCAAUACUAUUAUUGAAAGCUUAGAUCUAAGGGAGAUAGAGCUUACUGGUAGAUAGUUUACCUGGGCUAAUGCUAUGCCAAACCCGACAUAUGAAAAGCUUGAUCGGGUUCUCGCCAGCGUGGAGUGGGAAUAGAAGUUCCCUCUUGUUACGGUGCAAGCUCUCACGCGGGGUAUCUCCGAUCACACACCUUUGUUCGUGGACUCAGGGGAGCCGAACCAUAUAGGAAACAAAAACACCUUCUCUUUUGAGAUGGCCUGGUUCGAACGCGAGGGAUUCUUAGACAUCAUAGCUAGGGAGUGGGCUAAGGGUGUUGGAGGAAGGACGGCGGUCGAGCGCUGGCAGAAUAAAAUUAGGCAUUUGAGAAGUUUCUUACGGGGUUGGGCUAAGCAUCUCAGUGGGGUGUAUAAGAUUGAGAAGGAUAGGCUCCUCUCUCUUGUACAGCCCUUGGACGUAAAAGCUAAGUCCGCGUUGUUGCUGCCCGCCGAGCUCCAAGUUAAAAAUGAGGCGGAGAAGAGGCUGAAAGAACUUCUCCGCGAAGAAGAAUUGAAGUGGGCUUUGCGUGCCAAGGUCCGCAAAGUAGUCCAAGGGGACGCGAAUACUCAAUUUUUCCACCUCAUUGCUAAUGGUAAACACAGAAAGAAGCGGAUCUUUCAGCUAGAGCAGGAUGAGGGUACUAUUUUAGGGCAGGAUAAUCUCAAAACCUAUAUUUCCGAAUACUAUAGACAGCUAUUUGGACCGCCGAAGGCCAAUUAUGUGUCCCUCGAUGAGUCCAGGGUUGAGGACGUGCCUCAAUUGACUGCUGCUGAUAAUGAUAUCCUGGUUGCCCCGUUCUCGGAAAAGGAGGUGUUCGAUGCUAUUGCACAAAUGAAAAACAAUAAGGCUCCCGGUCCGGAUGGGUUCCCGGCUGAGUUCUAUAAAAAGUGCUGGCACAUUAUUUAGGGGGAUUUACUACCUAUGUUUCAUGAUCUAUUCUCUAGACAGCUUCAAUUAUUUCACUUGAAUUUUGGAACUAUCACAUUGCUUCCGAAGAAAAUGGAUGCUGCGAGGAUUGAGCAGUUCAGGCCGAUCUGCCUCCUCAAUGUUAGUUUCAAAAUCUUCACCAAGGUCGGGACUAAUAGGCUCACACAGAUUGCGCAAUCUGUGGUGAAGCAAUCCCAAACUGCUUUCAUGCCGGACAGGAACAUCCUUGAAGGGGUGGUUGUCCUUCAUGAAACGCUCCAUGAAAUCCAUUCCAAAAAAUUAGAUGGAGUAAUUUUUAAGGUGGAUUUCGAAAAAGCGUACGAUAAGGUUAAGUGGCCAUUCCUCCAACAGGCAUUGCGUAUGAAAGGUUUUGAUGAAGCCUGGCGCCGACAGGUCGAAUCAUUUACGCAAAAAGGGAGUGUGGAAAUUAAAGUGAAUGACGACAUAGGUCAUUAUUUCCAGACACAUAAAGGCCUAAGACAAGGAGAUCCGAUGUCCCCUAUCCUGUUUAACAUUGUGGUGGAUAUGUUAGCAAUUUUGAUAGGCCGGGCUAAGGAGAAUGGUCAAGUGGGUGGGUUGGUUCCUCAUCUUGUUGAGGGAGGUGUUUCCAUCCUUCAGUAUGCUGAUGAUACAAUCAUCUUUAUGGAGCAUGAUUUGGCCAAGGCGAGAAAUAUGAAGCUUGUGUUAUGUCUGUUUGAACAAUUGACCGGGUUAAAGAUUAACUUCCAUAAGAGCGAAUUGUUCUGCUUUGGUAGAGCCAAAGACGACCAGGAGUCUUAUAGGCAAUUGUUUGGGUGCGGGUUGGGGAGUUUACCCCUCUCUUACCUUGGUAUCCCGAUUCACCAUCGUAGGCUAACAAACAGAGAAUGGAAGUGCAUCGAGGAUCGAUUUGAGAAAAAACUGAGCUGUUGGAAGGUUAAGCUCAUGUCAUACGGAGGUCGUUUGAUAUUGAUUAAUUCGGUGCUCACGAGUAUGCCUAUGUUUCUCUUAUCUUUCUUUGAGGUCCCAGUUGGUGUUAGGAAACGACUGGACUUCUAUCGGUCGCGCUUCUUUUGACAGGGUGAUGAACUUAAAAGAAAAUAUCGGCUUGCUAAAUGGGACAUCAUCUGUAGACCGAAAGACCAAGGGGGUCUUGGUAUUGAAAAUCUAAGAAGUCAAGAACAGAUGUCUUCUUAGUAAUUGGUUGUGGAAGCUGUCUUCCGGGACUGAGGCCAUGUGGGCGCAGAUCCUCCGCAACAAGUACCUCCAAACUAAAACAUUGUCCCAGGUCGCAGUCAGGCCGACUGAUUCGCCUUUCUGGAAAGGACUAAUGAAAGUCAAACAAUCUAUGUUCAAUAGGACGAGAUUUGUUAUUGGAAACGGUACAAGUACCCAUUUCUGGAAGGAUACUUGGCUUGGUGAAUCACCUUUAGCCAUUCAAUAUCCGUCUUUAUAUCGGAUUGCUCAACGACGUGAGGUGUUCGUGGCAACGGUAUUCCAAUCUAUCCCCCUUAACAUUCAGUUUCGACGGUCGCUAGCGGGCAAUUGUUGGGAAGAGUGCCUUCAUCUAGUUAGGAGACUGAUGGAGGUUCAACUUUCUCACCAACCCGAUAUAUUGCGUUGGAAGUUGACUAGUUCUGGAGUAUUUACAGUUAAAUCGAUGUAUAUUGAUGUUAUUAAUUCGAAUGCUAUUCCAACUUCCAAGUUUGUUUGGGCUGUCAAGGUGCCUUUAAAAAUCAAAGUGUUUAUGUGGUUUGUCCAUAAACAAGUUAUUUUAACAAAGGACAACUUGAUUAAACGCAAUUGGACAGGACCUACUAGGUGUAGUUUCUGUGAUCGGGAUGAGACGAUUAAGCAUUUAUUCUUUGAUUGCCCGUUGGCUAGAGUUCUUUGGCGGACGAUCCAUAUUGCCUUUAAUCUUACUCCGCCGACUUCUGUCCAUGCUUUAUUUGGGACAUGGCUUAAUGGGGUUGAGCCUGUUCUCGCAAGACAUAUUCGGGUUGGAGUUUGCGCUUUUUUAUGGACUAUCUGGAAUUGCAGAAAUGAUUUGGUUUUUAACAGAACAUCACGGAUUCAUUUUUUGCAGGUUAUUUUCUGAGCUACGGCACUGAUCCGUUCAUAGUCGCUACUCACUCCGAUGGAGGCCAGGGAGCAUUUGGUUACUGGAUCUAUCCGUUGGGAGAUAGUCGCUCGGGAUAUCUUCAACCGGUUUGGAUGGCGGUCAUGUAAUAGGAUAGGCAAUUAGUUUCCCUAUCUAUUGUUAGCCAGCCGGUUGUGGCAUCUUUUUUGGGCUAGUUUGUAUAUCUAGCCGCCUGUAGCUCUGUGUGAGCUGCAUUUCUCUUUUUCUUUUUUUCUUUAGCUGGAGACUGUGGAACCUUGUUGGCACUUUUGCCUUUUUUGGUUAAUAAGAUGGCCGUAUGCAUCGUUCUGAUGCAGAGGCCGGGGAGACCCCCCUUUUCAAAAAAAAAGAAAGCUAGCAGUUUAUUUCUCUUGUGAGAUACUAAUUCUUUGAUAUCUUUUGAAUAAAAUUACUUUUAAAAUCAGUUUACAUAUUUGAAUUCCAAAUGAUGAUAUCUUUAAAAGAAGAACAAAUUUACACUUUUAAAGUAGUGUAAAAAUUCCAGAAUAAUAUUUCACUCCUUUCUUAAAAAACAUAUUUCACUCAUUCAUUAGAAACUAAGAGUGCGGGAUAUAUAAAUUCAUGAAUAAUAUUUCACUCCUUUCUUAAAAAAACAGAUUCCACUCAUUCAUUAGAAACUAAGAGUGUGGAAUAUUUUCAAAACACUGGUUCAUUUCAAAAUAUUUAUAUCACUCUUUUCAAAAGAAUUAUGUCACUCAAUUCAUAAAAUAAGUUGAUUUAUUUUCUAAAAGACUUAUUUCGCUCAUUAAAAAACAUAUUUCAUUUAUUAAAAAGGUUUCACUCAUUUCAAAACAAUUUCACUAAUUUUAAGAGAGGCUGAUUUCAUUCAUUUAAAAACAACAUAUUCACACAUUUCAAAAUAUAGUUUUUGAUAGUUUUUGAAUCAUAGAUUUCACUUAAUUCAAAGUGUUGUUUUCACCCAUCUCAAAAAACAAUUCCACUUUUUUCAAAGAAGCGAUUUCACUUAUUUCACACAAUUAAAUAAAGUUUUCACUCUUAAAAAAUAAUUUAGUUUGAAAAACAGAUUUCAUUCAUUAAAAAUGAUUUAACUAAAUUAUUAGAAAAUCCUUUUUGAAGAAUAAUGAUUUCGCUCAUUAAAAGAUAGUAGAUCUUACUCAUUAAAAAAAAUCACUCUUCUAUAUAAAACUAGUUUCACUAAAAAGCAAUCAAUCCUUUAAAAAAUGUUACUCUCAUUUCAAAGAAUAAGCUGACUAAAUCAAAACAGAUUUCACUCAUUGGUCUUGCUGUAAAUAGUUUUCCACACUGAAAUAGAAUGAGUGAAAUAAGUGGAUAGAAACAUUGAAAUUUAAAUGUGCUUGAAAUGUAUGCAAGAUUUGUCUUGUUCUAAAGGUCUUUGCAUCAGGAGUUCAAAUAUAUUAAAAAAAAUCAAAAUCAAGAUUAUGGUUUACAAGAUAUGGAUGAUUUAAAUUGACUAAUAUGGAAUAAAAGAACGGAUUUGUUGGAUGACAAGGGGAGAGAGAGUAGAUGUUCCACUAUUCAUGUUUUCCGGUCAUGCAUGCAUGUGAGUCAUAAAAGAUGGGACCGAUUAGACUUAAUAUCACAUAUUUUUUUUUUGAAAAGAAGGAAGAUCCCGGCCUGUGCAUCUGGGCGAUGCAUGCAGCCACUUUAUUAAUUAUUCACAAAGACCUUGCAAAGUAAUGCAUCAUUAAGUCUAAAGCCGCCCUUUUGGCAACAUUUGUCGCUACUUCUAUCCAGUUGAUAAAGGGAUGCUAAUAGUCCAAGCCUAAUAUCAAACAGACCUCGCAGCAAAGCCUAACAUCUAAGACCGAAGGCCCUAACCAAGUCACUUGCCGGGUAUGGGGCGCACACCGGUCCGGCACACUCUCGGAGGCCGCCGCCGCCUACUACCACCGAUCCAUCUUCAGAGUUGUACUGACGCAUCGACCUUACCUGGCCUAGCUGUCGUCGACGCCACCACGACUCCAGACGGCGCCACCAUCCUGCGCGCCUUCAUCAUUACACGCCCAGCAGCGAGACCCCGCUGCUCCAUGCCGCUGAGAUCCGCCGUUGUCGACGUGCCAGAUGCAACGCCGCUCCUCCUUCGCGAACACCACAUGCUGCCACUUGUCCCAUCCCCCUGCAUGCAGUUCCUCUGCACUCCCAACCGAGCCCCAAGGCCCAUGAUGACAACUCCAGGAAGGUCACGACGCGAACGGCGUCGCUGCCGCCAAAUCCGAAAAGGAUUGUAGGUUUUCACCCGGGCAGGGAAUCGGGUGGGUAGUUUGGGACCUCAGCUACGGCUCCAUGAAGGAAAGCGACGCCCUUGGGCAUCGCUGCCGCCGGGCCGGCCAGACCGGCCAAGGUUUCCCCCGGACCCCAAAUACAACACUAGGGCUCACCACCAUCGGAGCCGGCAGACGCAACCCACCGGGGCGUUGAGAGAGGCAGCAGGACAGUGGGGGACCCCCAGAUCUGACACAAUAGAGCACCGCGCCGAGGCCGGAUUCCACUAGCGACUCAUGGCCCGUGCGGCCGAGCAUAAUGGCCAGCGUCUCCUGCGGACGUUGCCAGCAGCCGGACAAUGCCGCCUCCCCGGCAAGGCUACCGCCCCAAGGAACCGCAUGCCUCCAAUGCGAGUCUCUGGUCCGAAGACCUUCGAGAUCAAUCCGAGUGCCGAGAUCCCCGACGCCACCUUCCCCAGCGCACGCGCGGGCUUUCCCGGCGGCCGUCUCCGGUGGCGGCGAGAAAGGAAGGGGGUGAAGGGGUGGCGGCGUGGCGGAACCCUAAUCGCCCCCGCAGCUUGGUAGAUCGGUCUUAAUAUCACAUACUUACACAACAAUAUACAUUUUGUGUGGGCCUCCUGUUGCACGAAUCACAGACCGCCUGAACGGUGAGGGAUAUAAAAAUGUCUUUGCCCAGAUGCAUCACGUUCCCCUUCCAAUAAUAUAAUGAAUAUUACAAGAUAACUAAUUCUCAUCUAGGUGAGAUCCAGAGAAACCCCAAAAAUUUGAUGAUGAUGCUGGCUUUUGGAAGAUAAAGGUAAAAGAAGAUGGGCAUUGUUUCUCAUAUUCUGAGUGGCCAGUGGCUGCCGGCAGUGGGUAGCACACAUGCAUGUCUGGUUGGCGCGACCUGCUUCAAGAAUCUCAUGGACCAGACGCUCAACGGCGAAACCAUCCGACACGACGCCGACGUGGGUGGUGUUGGCCAUUCUGAUAGACUUGUAGCAUCCCCGCUGCUCCGGAUCUUCACCGACAACCGCGUCGAGGGCAAGUAUGCUCGCCAGAUUGACCACUCCGUCGCCGUCCCCGUGCACCACCUCGGGGUCCUUGUCGAGGUCGCCGUCCCAGUACACCAGCUUCUCCGGGGUCGGCACGCCCACGCCGUUGACGCACGUCAUGGGUACCAGCGGCGCCCGCAGGUUGAGCGCCACCGGCAGCGCCCGCGACAGGUACAGCCUCACUGCGGACGCCGGCAGCCCGGCCGCCGACAGGAACUCCGGCAUGUCGCGCGCGGUGUAGUUCCUCGCCCGCGUCACGACCAGGGGCGUCUCGCCGCCGAAGACCGCCGGCGACGGCAGCCCCGCGAACGCGGACUCGAAGCUCCUCUUGACGCGCCGCAUCGACAGGACGCCGGCGCCGUCGCUGGCGGCGAGGCCCUUCAUGGUGACCACGAUCCCGCCGGCGCCCGUGGAGGCCAUGAUGAAGUGCUUGACGAGCCUCCGGCGCCACGCCAGGGGGCUCCGGUUGAGGAACUCGAGCGCGAGCAGGCCGCCCUGGCUGUGGGACACGAGGAUGGCCGGCUUGCCCCCGUUUCUCCUGCUCGCGUGCUCCACGAGCGCCGUGAGACUCCGGCGGAAUCUGGAGAACUCCCUGUUCGGCAGCCCCGGCGCCGCGGGCGCGUGCCGGAGGUCGUACGGAGCGCCAAAGAGGCUCUCGCCGUCGAUGUACCCGGUUCGCUCCAACGCCUCCACGAGUCUUCCCAUACAGAUCUCCCUGCUCCUCCACAGGUUGAGCAAUCAGCAUGCGUGAGCUAGGGAACAUAACUAUACUACUAUAGUGAUUGAUUCCGAUGCUUACAUGUCGGCAGGGUCGUCGGAGAGGAAGCCGCCGGUGGAGCCGAACGAGAGGACGCGGGUCUCGACGCCGGGAACAUUGCGGUAGUCGCCGGCCGUGGGGUCAUAAACCAGGCGGAGCUGGUCGGCGAAGCACGCCAUGUUGGGGAGGUCUUGCAGGCCCGUGCUGUUCUUCCACAGUCGGAACCACCGGCCGUCCCCCUUGCGCAGGCCGCAGAGCGGCGACGGCGAGUCGUAGGCGUCGGUGAGGCGGGCCUCGAUCUGGCCGCAGGAGAAGCCUGGCAGCAGCACCACCGGGUGGAGGACGUCUCGCUGGUGGUGGUGGGCAGCCGACGUGCUCCCAAAAAGGAAGAAGAAGGGAGCAAAGACUAGGAGGCAUGGCAAGCACAGCCAUUGGAGUUUGUCCAUGGAGAUUGAAGACGUGAAGCGUCACAGGCUUCUCAUAUCCAAACCCAAUUAUUCAGGAGGGCAGGUACACAUAACGCAUGUGAUCUUCUUUGAUGGCUUCACGUGAGCACAGCCGUCCUCGUCCAUGCACAUGCAGAGUGCAGAGAUGUAGGGCGUGGUAAGACUUUCAAACACACACAGACACAGGACAGCCACGCACAUCACUCUAUGCACAAAGCCAGAACCAUUGAUCAUUAGUGAACAGAAGUAGUAUUUAGUUGCGUUAUGAAUAUCUACUAUUGCACCAAAUUAAUGGUUGGUUGAUGUUUAUGUNNNNNNNNNNNNNNNNNNNNNNNNNNNNNNNNNNNNNNNNNNNNNNNNNNNNNNNNNNNNNNNNNNNNNNNNNNNNNNNNNNNNNNNNNNNNNNNNNNNNNNNNNNNNNNNNNNNNNNNNNNNNNNNNNNNNNNNNNNNNNNNNNNNNNNNNNNNNNNNNNNNNNNNNNNNNNNNNNNNNNNNNNNNNNNNNNNNNNNNNNNNNNNNNNNNNNNNNNNNNNNNNNNNNNNNNNNNNNNNNNNNNNNNNNNNNNNNNNNNNNNNNNNNNNNNNNNNNNNNNNNNNNNNNNNNNNNNNNNNNNNNNNNNNNNNNNNNNNNNNNNNNNNNNNNNNNNNNNNNNNNCCUGGAGGCGAGCCGGCGGUAGAAUCGGCUCUGGGGGCGGUUAGGCAUCCAGCCGUUGCCCCAAGGUCGCCCCUAGGCGCCGAUAUCGACCCAUUCCUGACCGCUUUUCGGCCCAAUUUUGGCGAAAAAUGGCCCGAUAUCGACACGAAUCGGCCCAUAUUCGGCGUGGUUUUUGUGUCACAUAUUCAUCACAGCAAAUCAAUAAAAAUCAAAAUAGUUCAACAAAUAGUACAACAGCAAAUAGUUCAAUACAAAUUAUAUAGUUCAAGAAAUAAAAACUCAUAUUUCAUCACACGUCGAGCUAGGUGUCGCCCUUGUUCCUCCAUAGGCGCUCCACCAGAUUCUGUUGCAGUUGUUGAUGCACCUGUGGAUCUCGGAUCUCCUGACGCAUAUUGAGGUAGGCAGUCCAGGUUGCUGGUAGCUGGUGAUCAACUUCGGCUAGAGGACCCUGCCUGUAGUAUGGUUUACUGUCAAACACUGGCUCUUCAUGCUCGCUCUCGAUGAUCAUGUUGUGCAAGAUGACACAACAAGUUAUGAUCUCCCACAUUUGAACUUUCGAUCAGGUCUGAGCAGGGUACCGGACAACAGCAAAUCGACAUUGGAGCACACCAAAUGCCCGCUUGACAUCCUUCAUGCAAUCCUCCUGCACCUUGGCAAAGUGGGACUUCUUGCCUCCUGGCACAACGUUUGAGAUAGUCUUCACAAAUGUAGACCAUCUCGGAUAUAUGCCAUCAGCUUGGUAGUACCCCUUGUUGUAGUGCCGCCCAUUGACCUCGAAGUUCAUCGGAGGAGAAUGACCUUCAACAAGCUUAGCAAAGACAGGGGAGCACUGUAGCACAUUGAUGUCAUUGUUAGUUCCUAGCAUACCAAAGAAGGAGUGCCAAAUCCAGAGGUCAUGUGCGGCCACCGCCUCAAGUACCAUACUGCAACCGUUUUUGGCGCCUUUGUACAUCCCCUGCUAAGCAAAUGGGCAGUUCUUCAAUUUCCAAUGCAUGCAGUCGAUGCUUCCAAGCAUCCCAGGAAAUCCUCUUGCUGCAUUCUGUGCUAGGAUCCGAGCAGUGUCUUCCGCAUUGGGUGUUCGCAAGUAUUGCGCUCCAAACACUGCCACCACUGCCCUGCAGAACUUGUAGAAACACUCAAUGGUGGUGGGCUCGGCCAUACACCCAUAGUCAUCGAGUGAAUCACCGGGAGCUCCAUAUGCAAGCAUCCUCAUUGUUGUCGUGCACUUUUGAAUUGAGGUGAAUCCAAGUUUGCCGGUGCAAUCCUUCUUGCACUUGAAGUAGCUAUCGAACUCCCGGAUGGAAUUCACAAUCCUGAGGAAAAGCUUUCGGCUCAUCUGAUAACGGCGCCGAAAUACUUUGUCGCCGUGCAGUGGAGCGUCGGCGAAGUAGUCGGAGUAGAGCAUGCCGUAGCCUUCGAGACGAUGCCGGUUCUUUGCUUUCAUCCGCCCCGGCGCCGAGCCACCUCGCCGUGGCUUUUCAUUGCUCGCCAGCAGGCCGGCAAGGGCGGCGAGGACCAUGAGAUGUUCCUCUUCCUGAAUGUCGGCAUCGGCUUCCUCCUCCAGCAGCGCGGCGAGCGCCUCCUCGUUGUCCGAGUCCAUUGCCGAGGCAGGCAAAUCGCCGAACACCUUGCGGGCGCGGUGGGCGCACACUCGCCGGUACACAGCCCCUUCGUGUCCGGAACGCCGAAAAAAUCGCCCAGACGAUGGUGGAGAGGCUGCCUCGGUGAAACCUCUACACUUUUUUCCGGCGGGGAAUAGCCGGUCUAGCGGUGGUAGGCGGUGGGUGGCGCCGGGAUCAGCCGCUAGUGGUUGGGUGGCGGCCGAGCGCGGGGGAUGGGAGGCGAAUCUGGACGAUAGGCUUGACUUUUCGCCUGACGGUGUGGGCCAGGCGUCCUUUUCCCUUGCGCCGGAGCCCCCGAGCGCCCCCCAAUGCACCGGGUUCGGCUUGCGAUCUCCGGACCAAAAAACGGGCCGAGCUCGCGGAUUUCGGUGUCCUGGGGCGCGACUGGGGCGUUAUUUCGGCGCCGAUGUGGAAAAAGUCGCCUGAAGGGGCCUGUUGGGGGCGCGGCUGGAGAUGCUCUUAAGAUAUCAAGUGUGGGCCACUAUAAUAAGCUCCAAUCAAAGUUUAAAAAGUGAACUAUGCCAUUUAGCGGCAGCUUGGUCAGACAUAAUGAAGAGCUACUUCCUCCGUCCCAAAAUUCUUGUCAAGUCUAAAACAAGAAUUUUAGGACGAAGGGAGUAUAAUAGAGCUUGAAAAAAGCUAAACCAUAUUUAGCAUUUUUGAGUAAAUCAUGGAAAGACAACAACCAGGUGACAAUAUCUUUUUUUUUUGAGGGUAUGCAAAUUGCGUACCUUAGCUUUAUAGAAGAAGAGAAAUGAGACAUACAACAACGUCAAACAACGAAGGCGACCCACUCCACACCCGGCUCAUUUUACUCGUGUCGCUCCAAACUUACAUGAUAUUUUGUACCAAUAUAGCCUCUAGCAUUUUACCAUUUCGAUUGAAUAACACUAAUUUAUUUUUAUAUAAUGUGCAUCCGAUAGAAUAACUUAAUGACAUGAAUAUAUGUCGCACAAAAAAUUAAACAACACUUGAAAAUAUUUUCAUGAAAAUCUAAUGACAAUAAUUAUUUAUUCUUAGAAUCAGUCCAAAGUUAGAUGUCUGAUUGUACGCUUUCCUGAACACCACUUAUUCUGUAAUAGAGAUACUAUUUUUUUCCUAGUUUCACUGGAUACAUUUUUCAAAUUUUUGGUUAUGUAUUUAGUGCUGUCUAUUCAAAAGAUAUAUGUUUUUAUUUUGAUGUAUGUUACUUUUUUUUGGGUAGAAAUGUACUAUCCAUAUCUUUUACAUUUGACACUACUAAUAAAAAAGACAAACAUUUUUUUCACCGAUUGUUUAUUGUCUCAGUAGUAAUAUUUUUAUUAAAUUGAAAAAAAAUUAAGAAAGGAAAUGACAACAUAUUAGCUUUCAUGGGAGUGGAUGGUGUAAACCCAUUUAAUUUACUUUUUCACAUGCUACAUUUUUAUCCAAUGAAAUAAUUUCUAUAUGUACAAUCUGAAUUUUUUUCAGAAAUAAAAUAGUUUUCAUCGACUUUGAAAUAUAUCCCAAGGAAAAAUAUUACAUGCGUAACAUUUUUGUCUCUGACAAAUCUAGAAACAGUAAAAAACAUUGUUUUUACAUGCAUGAAUAAUUGUUAUAAUUUUAUUUUCAUUAUAUUACAAUAUUUAAAUAUUAUAAACAUACAAAAAUUUAAAAAUUAUGUUUUCCAAAUGCUAUUGCAAUGUGAUUUGUCCACCUUUUCCCAUACGCUUGCAAUAUAAGCGGCAGGCUCAGGGCUCCACUAUGAUGCCAGUAUAAUAUCAGCCACCACAAAUCUAUCACCGUGCACGAAGCAAGCGCAAAAUACAGCGACUUUGAGCAACACAAACGACAGGUCGAAACUCGCGAGCGCGAAAAACUUCCAAUUCGCACAAUAGAUGUCUUCAACGCAAUUCAAAAAAAAAAGAUGUCUUCAACGUUUGGUCGAGGUGGCCUGAGGACCGCAAGAACAGCUAGCAUCUGCGAUCAUCAUAACAUUAACCAGGCAUCACCAUGCAUCGUCUGCACAUCCUUUUGCUUGUGAAUGUGACGAAAAUCUGCCCGGUAUAUUCAUGAACGCAAUUUGCAAAAAAAGAAGAAAGAAGUAUAUUCAUGAACGCACAAGCAUCACGUAUCAGAUCAAGAGUACUUCUACCUAGCUAGAUUUUUGUCUUGUCUAUGCAGAGGGCAGAGAUGUGGGGCGUGGUAAGACUUUCAACCACACACAGACACAGUACAGCCACGCACAUCCCACCUAUUCCUCCCUUAAUUAAACGAGUGCAGCCACCGAAACGGAGCUCCAGCGCGAGCGACCUCGACGCCAGGAUGGGGUUGCAUGCUGUGCUACCCCGCAACACCUGGAUGGAACCGCCGCAUGCUACAGCGAUAGUUGGCAUCCGCAUGGGCUUUGCUCGGCUGAUCGUCCGUACAGACUUCAUCUGGCCGCGCUGCCCUCCACGCCCCAGUCCAAGCCGUCAUGGCACCAGCAAGGAAUCGCCGUAAGCCUGCAGCACGUCGUUGGCACCCGCAUGAGUUCCGCUCGGCCAGCCACCUCCGGCCGUCAGUACAGACUUCACUCGGCCGCGCUUCCAUUGAUCCAUUCACACCCAGCACAAUUAGGAACACUUGCGGCUGUCCCGUGGUGGAGCCCCUCAGCCAUCCUGCCUUUGGUCCGGCAUGGAGCAUGGUGAGUCGGUCGACGCGGCGUGCGAUGGGAGAGGAAGAAGAGAGCUCUUUGCAGUAAGGAUAUCUCAUUUCACUUAUGUUGUCUCAAGACUUUCAACAUCACUAGAGCGCGAAGCUUGUGGGAUUUCAUUGCGAUGGGUAAGCUGAACUCCUCUGUCUUUGGUUUCAAUAUUCAGUCAGCAAGGUGAAUGGGAUUUUUUUCCAAAUUACUGAAUCUAGAGGCCACUUGAUUGGUUUUAUUCAGAGAAUUUUGAUAUAUAUACUUACGGGAGCAGUCCAACGGUCCAUCUCUCUAUGUCGAUUAUCUUUCGAUCUUCUGUUAUUGUGUUAACUAAAGAGAGCAGAAUGGAUGAAGCGGAAGGUUAAUUCAUACAUAUUAGGCUAAGGUGAUUUAAGCUAUUUCCUCAUAAGUACUACUUCAAUGCUAAAUUACCUUUUGUAUUACAGAAUUAUGAUCUUUUAGAGGUAUGACAUUCUAAAUCAUUUUUUGAUUUCACAUUAACAAUGCUAUGUUCAUCCCCUAUUGUUGUGACCUCCAUGGUAAUCAUUGCAACAUAAUUAUAACAAAUAAUCAUGAGUUAUCUAUUUUUGCAUCUCUAUUUUUGCAUCACUAGCUGUAAAUGAAAUCAGCUGCUUAAAAAUUUCAACCAUAUAUUCCCGCCGCAACGUGCGGGGAAUUGUCUAGUUUCUAUUAUAAAUGGCGCUAGUCUACCCGCCUCCGGAGCUUCCGCGUUCGCCGAUUGGACCGAGCGAUCUUUUUACUAUUGUUCUGGUACAUCAUAUAAUGUUAUUCUCAAUGAUCAUAUCUAUAAAGUCCCAGCUCAAUAUUAUCUUAUUGAGUCGGCCCUUGGGGGCUACACGUUGUUGUUCAAAGUCUACAUGAUCAUAUCUAUAAAGUCCCUGCUCAUUAUUGCAUAAUGACCCGGCCCUUGGGAGCUACACUGGUUGAAGUUUUUUGAGCAUCAGGCAAUUACAAGUCCCAGGUUGCUGCAAAGCAUGACAACCCGGCCCUUGGGGCUACAUAAUAUGGAGUAUUCAGUUUUUACUAGUGACUGGGAUGAACAACAUGGAUUUCAUCCUGUGGUGGUGAUGUGUCUGUGUACAUUUUGCGGGGUGUAUGUAAGAAAGUUUUUGUUCGAUUGUUUAAUAGUAGUGGAGACGAGGAGGCACUUGCCUUCUUGCCUAUCCUAGUAGGUGAUGGCAUAUGACUAUCCUGGCAUCACCGACGUGGCGGCCCUCUCCAGCAGUAUCCGGAACUCUAGCGUAGGCUCCGUCGCAGCAACCCCGAUGGAGUCGCCAUCCUCAUCACAGAGUGUUCAAAUAUAUUACCCGUCUCUUUCCAUCAGCUCGGACUUUUGGAGCAACAAGCUGGUGCAUGAAUUCAAUAUAUGGUAUCUGAAUCAAGAGGUUUUGAAUUCAAGAACCUGACAACGCAGUAGUAAAAAUAAACGAUUCUGUGGCCUACAUCGAUUCCACGUCCAACCACUAAAAUAGCCUAAAGAUUAGGGGGAGUGUUGAUAUAUAUUUACUGUCUCUCUUCAUCAGUUCGAAAUUUUAGAGCAACUAGCUGAAGCAUGAAUUCAAUACAAGGGACACCAUACUGGGGAUAAAAAAACAUUCAGGCACGGUCGCAGCCACAAGGAUUUCACGGGACCAACCGGUACUAGCUAGUUGUACACGUGUCAUGAGAGGAGAGAAAUCCGGAGGGGUGGGAUGUAGGGAGGGGCUGACCUCGAGCGAUAGUGGGUCGUGGCAGCGGUGCAGACCGUGGCACGGUUUCGCUGGACCAGUUCAUGUGGCAUCGUAUCCCCUUCCCCAUCGUGUCGAGCACAUCGAUGGCAUUUCCUAAAUGGUGCCUUAAGUGCCCAUUUCUUUGAAACAGGCAAACGGGCGCACACGCCGCAUCCACACUGGCUGACCCAUCAUACUCGGUUUUUUUUACGUUUUUCUGCAAAACCUUUCAAAAAAUGUGUGCCACGAAGUUUCGAACUGCGCUGCCCAUGCAAUGGGCUAGCGCGCUAACCAUCCUGAACAACAUUCGCUUCAUGAUGGAUUCCUUCUUUUAUUCUUCUUUAAAUAAUGAUCUUUUUAAUGUUAGAUUUCCAACUUGUUUGUUUUUUGGCCAUUUUUUUACUGUUUUUCUUCUUUUUUCAUUUUCGUGAACUUUCUUGAGUUUAUGAACUUUUUUGUUUUUGUGAUUUUUUUCAAAUAUUUUGAAUUCGUGAACUUUUUUCAAUUUGAUGAACUUUUUUCAAAUUCAAUAAACUUUUUUCGAAGCAAUGAACCUUUUCCAGAUUUGAUAAAUUUUUCUUCAAGUCGAAGACCAUUUUUUUUACAAAUUUGAUGAACUUUUCUCUAAAUUUGUGAACUUUUCUACAAAAUCGAUGAACUUUUUUAUCAAAUUCAUGAAACUUUUCCAGAAUUUGGUGAAAUUUUAUUAUAUUUUCUGAAUUCCAUGAACUUUUUCAAAAAAUUGAACUAUUUUUUCAUACAUGCGAACCUUUUUUAAAGCAACUUUAUGAUUUUUCACAAUUUCAUGUUUUUAUUUUUCAAUUGAUUUAUAUGUAUGGAAUAUAUGUUAAUGUUUUGUACUAAACCGAUGUUAAAUAGCACUGUUUUUGGAUUGUAAUUAGCAAAGUAUUCUCGGUCCAUUGGUUGUUGCCUCAAGUCUUCAAAUCCAUAUUUUUGGCUGAAUAUUUUCUCUUCGUGUCUAUAUUUUUUGCAGGUUGCUUGGUCGGCCCGCUAGGCGUCGCGCGUGGGCGCCAGCGGUGGUUAGGGGCGCUAAAAUCAACCUAUAGGAGAUCUCCAUAUCGAUCGGUCUGGCGACGACUGACACGUCCCAUCUCAACGCAUCAACCGAAGGGGUCCGAGCCUUCCGGUCUCUCUGGGCAGUUGGGAUGAGCGAAAAGUCCCAAUCAACGAGAUAAUUCAGAUUUUUUCUCUAAAGCAGCAGCCGCUUAGGACAGCGCAUCGAACCACCAAAAAUGACCCUCAUAUGGGAUCUAAUGGUCAGAACGGCAGAUGGUGUGAGAGAGCUUGGUUUAGCCUCAGUGUUACUAUCCUAAAUGAUCAUUUAAAAGAUAGCAUGUAAAAAUCAUAUAGCUCACUUUAUAAUAUCAGAUAAAUCAAGAAGCAAGAUGAAAUUCAUCAUUCUUCAUAUGGCUUAUCAGAGAACAAUCUUGUUGGUACACAAUUUAUGAUCUCGUUACUUUAUUUAGUUAAACAUGACAUCCGGUCCUAGCUAAAUAGUAUCCAUUUUAACGCAAUCCAGGCACUUGCACCCCUCCGCAACACACUCGCCAUGUCCACCGCUCCACAUAAGGUGGUCGAUGCAUGCCUUAUUGCAGCUUUUAUUAUCACAUGGCUUUGGUUAUGGGAUAAUGCUUGACACACAGGGGUCUCCUUCAACGGCCGCUGACGCCUUUGUUACCACAUCUGCAAAAUCCCACCAUGAGGAAAAGGG